rnacentral:lncRNA from 1 species
AGAUUCUCCUCAUCAAUCUUUUGAAUAUAAAGUAGGCUAAAAUAAACUUUUGGUCCUCAAAAUCAUACAGCUCAUAAUAUUUUAUUUUUUAAACUUUAAUUUAUUAUAAUGUUUGACUAGAACUUUUUAAAUCGUUAUAAUCAAAUUUCGUAAUAUAAUUCAGUUGACUGAAUAGUAAUGUGUCUUUGCUGAUGUGACAGUAAUGUAAUAAUAUUAUAGUAGAUGACAAAAUAAAAAAUUUUAAUGUUAUAGUAGGAAAAGUUCUCUCUCAGCCAACUCAGAGGUCCCUUGGACAAAUAGGGGUCCACACAGCAAACUUUUAAAAUUGAGAUUUAAAUGUUAUUAUUAUCGAACUACGUACAUAAGUUUUAAAUAACCAAUUAUUUUAUAAGGUGAAAAGUUCAAUUAAUAGUGAAUAACCAAUUUUGAAUUUAAAUUACUGUAUAAGAUAAGAUAUAUUAUAAAAUAACAGUUCGCGAGCGACCACGUGGACCCACCAUGCUUUUCACCCUCUUUUGGUGGUUCCCAAGACCUUCUGGUGCGCGACACCUGGGUGCGGGGCCCACCGGUGUACCCGCGCCGUGAGAAAUUACUAUACCGGCCGUUCAAUCAACAUCGGACGGUCCUGAUUGCGCACAAGACUAAGCGGCAUCGCCUAACUGCCCCCCGCGUUAGGACAAAAACGUGACUGGUGGGGAACCGGAAUUGGCCCCGCACAAGAAUCAAUAAUGAGAAAGCGCGCUUUUAUUGAUGCUGGUGUGUUUAGUAACCAGUCCAAAGUUUUGGGGUCUCCUUUGGGACCUCAAAUAAAAAAAAAAAAUAAAAUCUAUUGUCUUAGUUUAGGCUUGAAAUUCUGAUCAAUCCAAUCCAAUCAAAUGAUAUAUAGUCUUAAAUUUACAGAACAAUGUAAAAUUUAUCUCACACAUUGAACUUAUAAUAAUAUCCAAUAUAGUAUGACUAGAAUAUUUUUAACAAUUAAUCAGAAAGUUAAAAAAUAAUAAUAAUAAUAAUAACAAGUUCUCAUCCUUCCGCACACAUUUCAUUUAUUGACCAUUUAUUAUUCUUCUGGAGAAAGGGAAGAAAGGAUGCAAUGGAGUGCCCCCACACUGCAGCUGUCUCCAGCUCCUGCACCUCCCUUGCCAGCCCAUUACUAUUAUUCUCUCUCUCUCUCUCUCUCUCUCUCUCUCUCUCUCUCUACUCACUACACAGCUACACUCUUCACUCUACUCCGCCACACUCUCUCUCGCUCACUCUUCUUCUCUUUAUAUAUCAUCCCUCUCCUCUUCACUCCCCACUACUCUAGAUUGAGAGAUAGAUAAAUACAUAAAUAAAUAAAUAAAUAAGCUUGUUUUUUUUAUAAAAAAGGGAGAAUUUUUUUUUUUUCCAACAAAACAGAACAACAAAAUGUUGCUAAAAACCCUCCUUAUCCCCUUCUUCUUCUUCUUCUUCUUCUUCUUCUUCAACCUCUCCCCCACUCUGCUCCUCGCGGCCUCCCCUUACCCUCACGACAAAACCCUAACGGGGCGCUUCGAGCGAUCGCCAUUGCUGUCGUCGUCGAAGCGCUACGAGGGCUCCUCCGACCUGGUCCACGUCCGCUACCACAUGGGCCCCGUGCUCUCGGCCCCGAUCCGGCUCCACCUCAUCUGGUACGGGCGCUGGCUCCCGGCGCAGCAGGCCCCGAUCCGCGACUUCCUCCUCUCGCUCUCCGACGCCGCCGCGCCGUCCCCCUCCGCCGCCGAGUGGUGGCGCACCGUCGCGCUCUACCCGGACCAGACCGGCGCCAACGCCUCCCUCUCCGUCGCCGUCGCCGCCGAGGCGCACCUCGACCCGGCAGCCUCGCGCGGGCGCUCCCUCUCCCGGCUGGCCGGGGUCCAGGGCGUCAUCGCCGACGCCCUCGCGUCGGGCGCCCUCCCCGCCGCCGCCGACCCCCGCGGCGGCGCCUACCUCGUCCUCACCCGCGCGGUCUGCGGGUUCCACUACUUCACGUUCCCGGCGCUGGUGGGCCGCACCGUCCCCUACGCGUGGGUCGGGCACAGCGGCGAGCAGUGCCCGGAGGUGUGCGCGUACCCGUUCGCCAUCCCGAGCUACAUGAAGGGCGCGGUGGGGCCGAUGCGCGCGCCGAACGGGGACGCGGGGGUGGACGGGAUGGUGAGCGUGGUGGCGCACGAGCUGGCGGAGAUGGCCACCAACCCGCUGGUGAACGCCUGGUACGCCGGCGACGAGCCCGCCGCGCCCGCCGAGAUCGCCGACCUCUGCGAGGGCGUCUACGGCACCGGCGGCGGCGGCGGAUACACCGGCGCCGUCAGCACCGACGCGCGCGGCGGCAGCUUCAACCUCAACGGCCGCAACGGCCGCCGCUUCCUCGUGCAGUGGGUGUGGAGCCCGCAGCUCAACGCCUGCGUCGGGCCCAACGCCCGCGACUAAGAAUCUCCCUUUUUUAUUUUUAUUUUUUUUUCUCUUACAUUUAUUUAUUAUUAUGGUUCUAUUUAUUUUAGUCAUUUCAGGGUCUCAUUAAUUAGUAUAGUAUAUAUUAGGUAUAGUAGACUAUAGUAAUAGAAUGAGUGAGCGGUACUAUUGCUAUCGGAGCACGAGCCUUCCGUGGCUUCCACUCAUUUUCGAUGUUGCACUUCGAAUCGACAUGCGGACCUGUAAACUGUAAUUCUAGAGUAUAUUUGAAGUUACCUAGAAAAGUAAAGUGUUGAGAUUGGGACGAGGUAUCAUACCUAGCGAAGCGAUAGGGCUCAAAAUCAACGGCUGAAAAUAAAAAUUUUACAAAAUAUAAUAAUAUGAUAUUAAAAUUUUAAAUCAAAGAUAUUGAUCUUGUUUUAUAUAGUAUAAAGAAUUUUCUAUCAAAAUUUUACGUGAUUUGAAUAUUUCUACACCGUUAAACUUGCAAACGGCUCACUACGGCCAUUGAAAUUUGUUGAUUUUGAGCCCAUUCGAUCACUAGGCAAAUGAUAUCGAAAAAUAAUAAAAUUUAUUUUCUAGGCACUCCAAAUACUCUAGAUCAAGUUUAACGGAGCCGAUCGACGAUUUGAAAGUCGCAACAUCGAAAACGAGCUGGAAGCACGGAAGGCUCCGUGCUUCCGAUAGUAUAGUAGCCUCACUCUAUAUAUAAUAAUAUAAUAUGUUUAUAUAGAGGGAGAACUAGACUACUAUACUAUUAAUAGCACAAAGUCAUUUGUGCUACCAAAUUUUUAGUCAUUGGAUUAAGAGAUGUGCGGUUAGGAUGAUGUGGGCCUCAUAGGGUUGAAUGAGUUGUUGGUUGAAUAGUAUGAUCUAACGGAUAAAAAUGAUCAAAAGGGUAGAUCUAAUGGCUGAAAACUUGGUAGCAUCAAGUGUUUCGUGCUAUUAAUAGCAUAGUAGUCGGUCUAUAUAUAUAGUAGGGCUACUAUGCUAUUAGGAGCACAGCAACCCUUGUGCUCCUAAGUUCUUAACCGUCCAUCAAAUUUGAUGGGUGGUUAGGGUGAAAGAGAGAAAAGAAAUUGAUUUGAUUUCUCUUCAAUUUCUCUUCUCUUUUUCACCCUAACCACCCAUCAAAUUUGAUGAGCGGUUAAGAACUUCGGAGCACAAGGGCUGCUGUGCUCCUAAUAACACAGUACCCCCCUCUCUCUCUCUCCCCUCUCUCUCUCUCUUUCUCUCUCUUCUCUCUCUAUAUAAUAUAUAUAAUAUAUAUAUAUGCUACUAUACUAUCGGUAGCACGGAGCGCUUUGUGCUACAAGUUGUUUUCGAUGAUACAGGCUCCAAAUCGACGAUCGCUCCGUUAGAUUUGAUCUAUUUAAAAACAAAUUUCAUAAUUUUCGAUAUCAUUUACCUAUCAAAUAAAUAGUCUAAAAUUGAACGGCUGAAAAUAAAAUCUCAUGAAAAUUAUGAUAAAAGUCUAAAUUCAAGAUCAGAUAUACUGAUCUUAUUCUAAUAGUGAAAAAAAAUUCUAUAAAAUUUUAUGUAUUAGAUUGUUUAUACCGUUAAAUUCACAAACACACCACAUCAGUCAUUGAAAUUGUCAAUUUUGAAAUCUUUUGAUCACUAGCCAAAUAAUGUCGAAAAAAUUUAAAAUUUAGUUUCCAAAUACUUUCAAUAGUGUAGAUCAAGUCUAACGGAGCGAUCGUCGAUUUGGAAGCCGCAUCAUCGAAAACAACUUGGUAGUGACGGGCGCUCGUGCUACCGAUAGUAAGUAGCCGGACUAUAAUAUAUAUAUAUAUAUAUAUAUAUAUAUAUAAUUUAUAUAUUAUAAAUAUAUAAUAUAUAUAGUCCGCUAUGGUGCUUGGAAAAGCACAAGCACUUGGUGCUUGUAAGUUUUUUUACCGUUAGAUCUACUCAUCGGAUCAUUUUCAACCAUUAGAUUAUACUAUGCAACCAACCACCGAACUCAACCCUAGGGGCCACCAUCAUCCUAACCGCAUAUCUCUUAAUCCAAUGACUAAAAAUCUACAAGUAGCAUAUAACUUAGUAUUAAAAGCAUAGGAGCUCAAUUCUAUAUAUAUAUAUAUAUAUAUAGAUAUAUAUAUAUAUAUAUAUAUAUAUUAUAUAUAAUAUAUAUAAAUUAGGUUGGAAUACUAUUAAUAGCACCAAGCUAUUAAUCUAUUAGUUUUUUUAGUCUUUAGAUUGAAAAAUGUGGUUAAGAUGAAUGGCUCCUAGGGGGUUGAGUUGAUGGUGUUAAAUAGUAAUAAUUUAACGGGUAAAAAUAAUCAAGUAUUAAAUCUAACGAUGAAAAACUCGAUAGCACCAAACCCUUGAUACUUAUCGAUAGUAUCCCAGCCGGACUCUAUAUAUAUAUAUAUAUAUAUAUAUAUAUAUAUAUAUAUAUAUUCUAUAAAUCUAUGACUAAAGUGAAUAUUAAAUCUAGGUAGGAUAUUUGAACUUUUUUGUAUAUAAUUUAACAAAAUAUUAACGGAGGAAAAAAAUUAGUGAUAAAGUUAAAACUAAAAGGUACUAAAAUAAAUAUUCGAUAAACCUAGUUAGGUUAUCUGAUGUUUUUUGUAUAUACUUUAACGAAAUAUUAACAGAGGAGCCGGCAAAAAUUGAAAAAUGAAACCACAUAGUACUAAAUUGAUGCACAUUAAACCACAGAGUACUAAAGUGAAAAAAAUGCAAAAUCACAAGAUACUAAAUUAAUAUACUUUAAACUAUAUAGUACUAAAGUGAAAAAGUACGAAACCACAUGGGUGGUAUUUGAAGUUUUUCCUAUAUAAUAUAUGGUGAAAAUUUUUUUGCUAUUCUAUCUUUAACAAUUUUAAUUUUACUGUCUAAACUUUUGAUUUAUUUAAUUUGAACUAGUGAACAGAAUAUUAAUUUUAAAAUUUGAAGUAAUUUUUAUAAUUAUAAAUUUAUUAAAAAAAUUAUUAGUUUAAAUUUUAAUACGAAAAUAUUGUUGUUUGAUUUAAAUCAAAUAAAUUGAUAGAUUAGAUAGUAAAAUUAAAAUUUUAAUAAGUUGAAUAGUCAAUUUAAGAUGGUUUAUAGUUCAAAGCUUUUGAGUUUUUAGUAUUCAAAAGAUAAAAUUAUAUUAAAACUUUUUGCGGCCCUGAUCGGAAACUAGCAUAUAAUGUAAAAAGUAAUCUUAUCUAAUAUCAUGAUUCACAAUUUUUUUUUAAACUGAAGUUUCAAAAAUGUGAUAUCAAAUUUUGGAUGAGUAUGGAGUAAGAUCCACAACCUCCAUAAAAGUAGUGCUAAUGGCAUUUUCCUGCUAAUAUAUAACGCUCAUAAUGUAAAAUUUAUAAUUAAUUAAUAUUUAAUAUAAUAUAAAAAUAUUAUUCUAUAAACUCACUAUUUCAUUGAUCCCAGAAACAUUUCUCUUAAAAAAAUUCCAAUAAAUUAAAUUAGUUUAAUGUGUUGGUGUUGCACGUGUUUAUUAUUUCGUCUUGAUCGAUUCAUAAUCAGUAGUCUAAAAAUUGAGAUAAUUCAAAUAAUUCAGAUAAUCGUGACUGAUUUAAAAUAUUUUAUAAUUUAGAUAAGUUUUUUAAGUUUUUACUAAGCAAAAUAUAGCACUAUUUCACUGGAAAAUUCUGAGCAUUCACCCAAUCAAACUAAUGUUCUACUUAUUAUCGCGAAAACAUGACAAAGCUUCUUCGAGGCGAAAAAGCCGUUAACUCGCAGAAUCGGAAAAUGCGAAAACAUGAUCUAGAGCAUCCCAAGUGACCACAAUUGUCGCAAAGCUUCUUCGAGGCGAAAAAGCCGUUAACUCGCAGAAUCGGAAAAUUUUCAACUAUCCCAUCAGUUGGUUCAUCCCUGCAUUUCGCAAACUCGAUUUCAGAAACAAAUAUCGAACUCAAAUUAUACACAAUUCAAUCACAGAGCACGUACCUGAACCCGAGCCCGAUAAACCGUUUUGCUGAAGCAAAUUUUGGCGCGCAAUUCCCGCAAAAUAAUUCAAGCUAUCAUUCGAUUGAUAAUAACUUCCGACUCCGCUUCCUGCCUCUUGAUUCGCGACAUGUGCGGUUCGAACCAUCCACUGAUCCAUCCUCGGUGUCCGAUACAAACUGCAGUUGAUUUUACUCGUACCGGUUCUCGGUUCGGCACCACUGUUAUGCGAUAUAUCUGCGUGAGAACGUCGCAUUCGCGCCCUUCGAUUCUGGAACCAGUUCGACACAUUGGCUUCCGAGAUCGGACCGUGUUGCGAGAGCUGCAACGCGAUCUCUUUGAUCUCCUUUCGGUUCGGGACUCCGCGGCACUUAUCGAAUAUGCCCUGGAGGGCAUUGAGCUGCUUCGGCAGCGGCGUCCAUCGCUUCCUCGCGGGGAUCUUGUGCACGCCGGAUUUCGUCGGAGAGUCGCUGUAGUUUGGAGUUCCAGUUAGCAUCUCUGAAUUAACACAGUGAAAAAUGUGACCAAUUGUUCGCGCUUCAUGUUUUUUUUUUUUUUUGAGAAAAAGAUAGCACGCUACUCAUUUCAUUCAUUCAGAUGGUGAAUUAAGUUACAUGGGUGAGACAACAAGGCCUCAAGGGUUGAUGUUAACACAGGAAAAAUGUGACCAAUUGUUCGCGCUUCAUGUUUUUUUUUUUUUUUGAGAAAAAGAUAGCACGCUACUCAUUUCAUUCAUUCAGAUGGUGAAUUAAGUUACAUGGGUGAGACAACAAGGCCUCAAGGGUUGAUGUUAACACAGGAAAAAUGUGACCAAUUGUUCGCGCUUGAUGUUAAGAGCGCUUGAUGUUAAGAAAGUAAAAUGCAUGAAACUUAUCUGAACUACAAGCUAUUUUAAUUUGACUAUUUAAUUUUUUUAAAACUGUUAAUUUUAGUAUCUAAUUUUUUUUGAUAACUUUUUUUGAUAAAAAAUUUAAACUAAUUGAUAGCUUUUAUAAUUUUAUAGCUAUGUAAAUUGUAUAAAAUACAUUUAUUAAAUUUAUAAAGAUAAACGGGGCAUUUAAAUUUUGACAACUCAAAUCUAAUAAAUUAAAAUAAUUUAUACCAAAUUAAAAUUUUAAAUAUUAAAUAGUUGGAUCAAAGUAGAUGAUAGCUGAAGUUUUAUACAUAUACAUAUUUUUUACCUACUAAAGAAAUUUUAACUUGCAUAGUAAUCUUGUAAUUAGUGGAAGCAAUUAUUAAUUUAUUGUUUUUAAGGGAAGUGAAUCUCCCUUGGAUAAUUAAUUAAACCAUCAAGUUUCCUUUUCUAGCAUUGCUCUUUUCCCAUUAUCACCACAUAAAUAAAGGGUUCUCACUAUAAAUUACCAUAUAUUCACUUAUUAUUGCUCUAUAUUCCCCUAUCAAUAUUUUUUAAAAUGAAAAAUUAUGUUUAUAGAUAUUGCCUAAAUAUCUCAUGUGUUGUACCCAAAUCAUCAUAAAUGUCAAAGACCUACCUCCGAAGUAUCAAUUAUGUAAAAGUCAACUGCAUAUUAAAUGGCAUUGUUUAAUUUACAAAAAAUAAUAUUUAAAAUUUAUAAUUUUAAAUAUAUAACUGCUUUAAAUAUUGUGAACUUCAUUCAAUAACUUAGAUUUUAUUUCCAUCUUUUAUAGGCGCAGUGCAUGACGCAUCAUGCAUGUAAUAAAUAAAUUCUACUUGAUUUGAUUACUCGGGUCAUAAACAUUUUAUUGGCAAAAUAAUACACAAGCCUUAUACAUCAAACAACGUUCAAAACUCAAAACACUCCAAAUGUGACGGUUAUAACGUUGAAUAUAAAUAUUAAAAAUAUUAUUCUUCAGUAACUUAAGUUUUUGAAGUUUAUGAAAUUCAAACUCAAAAUUUCAUAUUCUGAUAUCAUAUUAAAACAUAUUAGACAAUCAUUAUUCUCUAAAAAUUUAAGUUAUUAUGUUUUGUGUCAAUAAAAUAGUAAAAUACAACGGAAAACAAAGGAAGCAAGGAAACCUCGAGGGAAGGGAUGGCGGCGGGCGACGACGGUGCACUUGUUGUACAUGUCGAGAAGUUGCUCGGCGACGGCGGCGUACGCCGCGAUUUGGCGGCGGAGCUCCUCCAUCUGCACAUCCGUCAUCACCGUCAUCGCCAUACUCGCCUCACAAUUCAUCCCCUCUUUCUCCGCCAUCGCUACGUACUUUUACUACUACUACUAUUACAACUUUUUUUUCUUUUUUUUUUUUUUGCAUGUACUUAUCUCUCUAUUAUCUCUCUAUCUUUUUAUGUAAUAAGAAAAAAAAAAAAAAGACAACGAGAAAGGAGUAGGGGAACAAAAAGGAAAUAAGGAAAUUGGAGAUUCUUUUUUUUUUUUUUUUCCUAGUCGAUUUUAGCGGACGCGGGGAACCGUCUGCGCGGAGUAGGAGAGAAUGGACGGUGGAGAUUGCCGCGGGGAGGAUCUGUCACGGAUUCUGGAGGAAAAUUUAGUAAUUGAAUAGUAAAAUACCAUAUUUUAUGUAUAAAAUAAAAAUGGGCAAUUAUUUAUAUAUCAUUAAAAAGUUUUUGACUUUCUAAUUUACUUAAAAUGCUAAUAUUAAAAAUAUUUUUUUAUAUUUCAACUUAUUUCAAAUAUAUAUUUUUAGAGUUAAAUUCAGUUAGUGGACUAUUAGCAAUAACCAUUAUUUCUGUAAAAUUAUUAGUUUGUCCUUUCAAAUAUAUCCUUCUACCAUCACAAAUUUUUCUUAUUUGACCUUUUAAGUUAUAAACAAAAGAAGUAUUUUGAUUUUUGGCAUUUUCAAAUAUACCCAUUUACCAUCACCAAUUUUUCUUAUUUAUCCUUAAAUUAUAGGCAAAAAAGAUAUAUUAAUUUUUUACAGGCAAAAGAGGUAUAUUAAUUUUUUUUACUCCAGUAGACAUUUAACUCGCAUUUAAAUCGAAAUAACUUAACAGAUGGUAAUUGUCGGGUAUUUUUGAAUAGCUAAGGAACAUAUAAGGGCUAUAUUAGAAAUAAAAAAAAGUAGGGAUAAAUUGAUAUUUUUGAAAUUUUAAGGGGUAUAUAGGUAAUUAUAUCAAAUAAAAAUGUAUAAAAUUUAUAUGAAUUAUAGACUAUCUCAAUAUGAUUAUUUAAUUUUUUAAAUUUAAAUUUUAAUAUAUAAAUUUGUGGGAGAGUGUAGGGUGAAGAUUCACGCAGGGAUGAUAUGUCACCGAUUCUCGCAUCACGAAAAAAAAAUAGUAAAGUUAAUUUAGUAAUUUGAUAGCGUACCUAUCUUGUUUUAUGUAUAAAAUAAAAAUAUGUAAAAUUUAUAUAAAUUAUAGACUAUUUUAAUUAUUUAAAUUUUUAAAAUUUUGAUUUAGUAUGUAAUUUUGUGGGAGAGCGGUGGAGAUUCAUGCGGGGAGGAUCUGUCACGGAUUCUUCAGAUAGUUGCCUUACGAAAAAUUAGUAAAGUUAAUUUAGUAAUUUGAUAGUGUCUGUCCGAUAACUGUAUAUAGAAUGUUUUAUGUAUAAGAUAGAAAUGUGCAAAAUUUAUAUAAAUUAUAGACUACUUUAAUUUGGUUAUUUAUUUAUUUUAAAAUUUUAAUUUAAGUACAUAAUUUUGUGGGAGAGAAUGGACGAAUACGAUGGUCACACGGGGAGGAUCUGUUACAGAUUUUUAGGUAAUCACGUCACGAAAAAUUAGUAAAGUUAAUUUAAUAAUCUAAUAGCGUGCCCGGUACCUAUAGAUAGAAUUAAUGUUUCAUAUAUAAGAUAGAAAUGUGUAAAAUUCAUAUGAAUUAUUAGACGGCUUUAAUUGGAUUAUUUAAGUUUUUAAAAUUGUAAUUGUAGUACAUAAUUUUAUGGAAGAGAAUGGACAAUGAAGAUUCACACGGGAAGGCACGAAAAAUUAGUAAAAUUAAUUUAGUAAUUUAUUAACGUGCCCGGCAACUAUAUAGAGAAUGUUGUAUGUAUAAGAUAGAAAUGUGUAAAAUUUAUAUGAAUUAUUAGACAACUUUAAUUUGAUUAUUUAAUUUUUUAAAAUUUUAAUUUUACUACAUAAUUUUGUGGGAGAGAAUGGACGAUGGAGAUUCAUGCAGGGAGGAUCUAUCACAGAUUCUUCAGAUAGUCGCGUCACAAAAGAUUAAUAAAGUUAAUUUAGUAAUUUGAUAGCAUGCCCAGUAACUAUAUAUAGAAUGUUUUAUGUAUAAAAUAUAUAUAUGUGUGUCUGUGUAGAGUUACUAUUCUUGUGAAAGCAUGAAAAAGUUCGUGUUUCUGACUUUCUGGCCUUUAAAUCAAGAAUUAUAGGAUUGGAAUAAUAGUGGUCCUUCUAGGAUUUAGUGGUUUUUCUAUGAAAAUAAUAUUAAUCGAAGAGCUAAAAGUGAUGAAAAUAUGUUGAUCUAUAGGUUAAAAAAUUAUAAGUAAUAUAGGAGUGGCGCUUUCGAAAGCACCAUAGUUGGACUCUCUCUACAUAUAUAUACUUUUAUAACUGUGAUCGUCUUUAUACUCAUAAGUCGUUUUCGAUGGUAAAGUUUUCGAGUCAACGAUCCAUACCUCUAAAUAUUACCUAGAGCAUUUGAAAUUUUUAGAAAUCAAAUUUCUUAAUUUUUCGACAUUAUUUACCUCACUAUCAAUAGAUUUUUUAGUUGACAACUUUUAAUGGUCAGUAUUGGAUAGUUGCCAAUUUAACGGUGUAAAAGAAUUAAAAUUGGUUGAAUUUUUUAUAGAAAAUUUUAUUCACUACCUAGAUAAAAAUUAAUAACUCCGAUAUUAAAUUGAAUAAUUUAAUUAUCUAAUUUUAGGAGGUUUUUCGAUUUUAUAUAUGCUUAAUAGACUUCAUUAUAAUUUUUAAAAAUUAUAAAAUUUAGCUUUUAAAAGUUUCAAUGCUCUAAAAUUAUAUAUUUAAUGGUAUACAUCGUUGAUUCAAGGCCAAUUUGUAUAAAAAAUUCACUAGUUUUGCGCUUUUGCAAAAGUGGGUCACUUUUUUCGAUUUUGCAGAUUCGGGCCAGAUUUUCAACAAACUGACCAAAAUACUCUCAUUGCAUUUUCUCUCUUAUUUUUUUUUUCCCUCGCUUUUUUUUUUCUCUCUCUGAAGAAAGUAUCGGAGGGGGAGGCAGAGGCGGAGGCGGAGGCGGAGGCGGAAACAGCCCGCCUUGCCUCCGCACGCCCACGCCCUCACCCGUGCCCGUGCACCCCUGCCCUCCUUGCCUCCGACUUUGCUGAGGCCGCGCCACGACCCUUCUUCUCCACUAAGGCACGACGACGUACGUUGAGGUGCAGACUCUUCUCCUCCACCAUGCGUCGGAAUGCAGAGACAUCGUCGGAACCGACGAGAUCGCCUCCGACGACAUCGCGGUGGUUGCGAUAGAGAGCAAAGAAGAGGUGGUGACAAAAAAAAAUUAUAGAGAAAAAAUAAAUAUAAAAAAUAUUUUUUUCCUACAGAAAAGCUCAAAAAAUAUAAAAAAAAGAAAGAAGAUUAUAAAAUUACACUCUAAAAAUAAGAUUACACUGUUUUUUUAAAAAAUUGCACUGUUUUAAUAAAAAUUAUAUUAUUUAAUAUAAAAAUUAAACUCUUUUGAAAUAAAUUUUACACUCUUUAGAUUAAGAUUGUACUAUUUAGAAAAGUUUUGCACCAUUUCAUUUUAUUUCUUUUUCUUUUUCUAUUUCUCUUCUUCUUCUUCCAGUCUGGCUUGCCCCUGCCGCCUCCCUCUCCCCCUCCCCAUCCCCCUCCUCCCCUUGCCCCUGCCGCCUUCCCCUCGCUUCCCCGCCGGCGACCCCGCGCCCCGACGCCACCGCGCCGAACCUCGACGAGGACGACGACGAGGAGUGGGACAAGGCUAACGUGUGGUUCCUCGUCGGCGACGGCGAGGGCAAGGCGGUCCCCUGCGUUUGCUCCGCCAUCGCCGCCCUCUCCAAGCCCCUCAACGCCCUCCUCUAUGGCGGCUUCGUCGAGGCCCAGCGCGACCGCAUCGACUUCUCCCGCAACGGCGUCUACCNCCAGCGCGACCGCAUCGACUUCUCCCGCAACGGCGUCUCCCCCCGCGCCCUCCGCGCCGCCCGCCGCUUAGCCCGCUCCUCCGGCGCGGGCGCUGGCGCCGGCGACACCGCUCGCCUCCCCCGCAACCUCCUCCUCAAGAACAGCCUAAUUAAUUAAUUAAUAUAUACGUAUAUACAAGUAAAACUUGCACUGCCCAUGAAUUAUAGUGUUGAUACUGAAUUAAUUCUCUAGCUAGCGCACAUUAAGCGGGCGGCGGAGGUUGAGACUGAUGAUGCUGCUGCAGGUGUUGUUGUUGCUGUUGCGGCUGCGGGGUGGGGGUUGUUUUUAUAAUUAUUAUUAUUCUUAUAAUUCUUCUUCUUCUUCUUGUGGUACGUGAUGCCGCGGGCGCGGGCCUCGCUCUCGCCGUCGUUGACGAGGAACCACACGUAGGCCUCGUCCCGCUCCUUGUCGUCGUCCUCGUCGAGGUUCGGCGCGGGGGCGUCGGGGCGCGGGGUCGCCGGUGGGGAAGCGAGGGGAAGGCGGCAGGGGCAAGGGGAGGAGGGGGAUGGGGAGGGGGAGAGGGAGGCGGCAGGGGCAAGCUGGACAGGAAGAAGAAGAAAAGAAAUCGAAAAAGAAAAAGAAAAGAAAUGAAAUGGUGCAAAUCUUUUCUAAAUAGUGCAAUCUUGGUCUAGAAAAUGUAAAAUUUAUUUCAAAAGAGUGUAAUUUUUAUAUCAAAUAGUGUAAUUUUUAUUAAAACAGUGUAAUUUUUUUUUAAAACAGUGUAAUCUUAUUUUAAGAGUGUAAUUUCAUCAUUUUCUUUCUUCUUCUAUAUUUUUUGAUCUUUUCUGUAAAAAAAUUUUUUUUUUUUAUUUUUAUUUUUUAUUAUUCUUAUUUUUUUCUCUCUAAUUUUUUUUUUUGGUCACUACCUUUCCCUCGCUCUCGGAGGCGAUCUCGCUGGCUCCGAUGAUGUCUCUGUGUUCCAACGCACGGAGGAGAAGAAGGGCAUGCACCUCGACGUCGUCGUGCCCUAGUGGAGAAGAAAGGUCGCUGUGCGGCUUCAGUAGGUCGAAGGGGAGGAGGGCGGGGUGCACGGGCGAGGGCGAGGGCGUGGGCGUGCGAGGCAGAGGCGAGGCGGGUUGUUUCCGCCUCUGCCUCCGCCUCCGCUGCCGUCUUCGAAGAGAGAAAAAAAAGAACGAGAGAAAAAAAAAAAAGAGAAGAGAGAAAAGACAAUAAGAAUAUUUUGAUCAGUUUGCUGAAAAUUUAGUCCGAAUCUGCAAAAUCAAAAAACAGGAGCCCACUUUUAUUAAAAAGUGCAAAAUUAGUAAAUUUUUUAUGCAAAUUGGCCUUGAUUCAAAAGCUAGUAUUUAAAAGAGUAUACUAGCCGGAGCUAUAUUGAACCGACCACGAGAGACCCGUAUCAUUUUGAGUAGAAAAGUUCUGCUCGUAUUUUACUCGUUUAUUAAAUAAGGUUUCGCUUACAAACUUAUUUCGAAGCAAAGACGAAUCAGACUCAAAUAUACAUAUAAAUAAAUAAAUAAAUAAUUAAAAUAAUAUUAAUUUUAAUAAUAAAUUUAUUGUUUCCUCGUCGUGGCCAAAUAUAUUUCGAGCUUUUCUCGGUGCCCCCACACGUGUGGCAGGCGCAGUUGACACCUCUUUAAGGAAGCCUCUGGACCGUUCCCGGCGCGACGACGCUUGUAUUUAUACCCCUACAAACCCCAGAACGUCCCCCAAACCCUACUCCUUGUACCAGAGCUCGCGAACUGGGUAGGCAUGGCCGAUCGCUGCAACGACAAGUGCGGGUGCGCCGUGCCGUGCCCCUGCGGCGACGCUUGCAGGUGAUCGUCCGACGAUCCUAGCCGCACGUUAAAUUAAUUAUUAUUCCACUUUAUUUAUUUAUUUAUUUAUUUAUUUAUAUUAUUCUUUCUUUCUCAGGUGUGGCGCUGCUGCGACGGGGGCGGCGGCGGCGGGGACGGCGACGGCGACGGCGACGCAGGCGCACGAGACGUGCACGUGCGGGGAGCACUGCAGCUGCAACCCCUGCACGUGUGAGAAGGCCGGGACGGGAGCGGCGGUGGGAACGGGCCGGGCCGCGUGCACGUGCGGCCCCACCUGCACGUGCACAAGCUGCGCGGCAUAGAUGGGCAUGCAUGAUGGCAUACGUGUGGCUUAAUAAGUUAGUAACAACGAACAUGUGUUACCUUUUUUAUAUAUUGGCGAGUAAGAGAGAGCAGCGUAACGAAAUAAGUAUGUGACUUAUAAAACGAAGAUGUUUGGUAUUGUAGUUCUACGUCGUGAUCGGUGACGCGUGCGUGUUUUUCUAUUUUCUUUUUUUUUUUUUUUUUUAUGGUUUGUAAUUAUUGGGGUGUUGUGAUCAAAAUUUAUACUAUUUGGAUAGGGGUGUCAACAGGUCGCUCAUGUUCAGCUCGUUAUUAAAUGAAUCGAGCCGAAUACAAAUUGAAUUUUUCGUACAUUCAAGCCCCUCUAUAAAAAAUUUGGUCAGUUGAUAACACAAACUGAUUAGAUCUUAAUUUUAAUAUAUAUUGAUCAUCAAAAAAUAGUAGGAUAACAAAAAAAAUUAGGCACGGUGUAUAAUGCGCACUGCCGCAGUGGGUGCAGUUAGGGGUGUAAACAAGCCGAACACGAGCAAGCUAGGGGCGGCUCGUGUUUGGUUUAAUAAACGAGCGAAACGAGCUAAUUCGUUAAGUAUCGAGUCGAAAAAUGUGUUCGGCUCGUUUAUUAACAAGCCGAACACGAGCUGGCUCACGAGCUGGCCAGUGAAUAAUAAAUUAAAAAAAUUAGAUUGAAUAUGUAUAAAAAAUAAAUUUAUAAAAUUUGAUCUAUUAGAUUUUGAUCUAAUAGUUGAAAUUUUACAUAUAAAUAAGUAUUUUUAUAAUUGAGUUCGAUCACCUUUAUAUUUUAUUUUGUUAAAAAUUAAAUAAUAAAAAUAUAUAUUAUAUAUAUAGUUAUUUAUUUAUAUAGAUAAAUAUAAAUUAUAUAAAUUAUAUAAAUAUAAAAUAUAUGUAUUCGAACUGUUAUCGAGCCGAACACGAGCGAGCUGAUAUCAUCUCGUGUUCGGUUUAUUUAUUAAACGAGGCGAAAAAUUCAGCUCGUGUUCAGCUUGUUUACUAAACGAGCGAUUCGAUUUCGAGCUCAUCUCAAAUCGAAUAUGAGCUAGUUCACGAACGAUGAGCUGAAUUGGCACCCAUAAGUGCAGUUAUAUGAUUUCUUGUUGGUGGGAUAGGCUAAUUCCCCGCGACAUUCCACGUGUUUCCAUUCCUCACCUCGUACCAAGCAUUAUUAUUUCCCUUAUCUUUUUGGCUCGUAAUAAUAAUAAUAUCUUUAAAAGUCGUGUGACAGCUUAUUUACAGUGUGGACCUAGUUGACUAAAGCUCCGGAGACCAUGAUCCAGUUUACAGAGUGAUUUGAUUUAAAUUUUUAAUCAAAUAAAUCAAAAUUUAUUUUGAACUCUUCGGAUUCGCGAUACAAUCAUCGCACCAGUGAACAGGUUUAGUUUUAUUUAUCAAACUAGUCGGACUUUUUUCACCGAGUGAUAUUAAAAUCCAACAGUUUAAAUUAACUGAGCUGGUUUUAUUUUUUAUUAGCAUAUAUAUUAGUUUUAUAAAAACAUGAAAUUUAAAAAUUUUAUAUACUUAAUUUGGUCUUAAAAAAAUUAAUAUUAUAAAUUAAUUAAGAUGCCAGAACAAUAAUUUGUAUAUACUGAUAAUUAAUUAUUUAUAAUAUUCCGCUGAUGUUGUUGAUUCAAUUGGUGGUUGAUUCAGUGGUUCAACGAAUGAUCCUCGACUUACUAAUAUUUUCGAGUCGCUGUUCGACUCGAUUUUUAAAACAUUGAUCUGAAACAGAUAGACCUACGGGUCCAAUCACACAUAAAGCCGAAGCGAAAAGUGAGUGAGAGGUUCGCAAAAACGCGUCGCAUUUAUGAACUGGAUUAACGUGAUUUUGGUGGGGCCAGUUUAUUGGGCCCCCACGGAAAAGCCCACUUUAGUAGGCUGGGCCAUGAGAAAGGAACUCGUCGUUGUUGACUAUACGCAUCGAAAAUUAUUCCAUAAAUAAUUAGAAGAUCCAAGUAGCUAAAGAUGCACCUUUGCAGAGUGUCAUGUGAUCGUGUCUAAGAUGUCAAACCAACUGCAUCCACACCAGAGAAAUUCAUAUUGAUUAUUUUUAUAUUAACUUCCUCGCAAUUCUCACAUCAAAUGACAAGGGGAAAACAAAAAAUGUAGUCCAAGUUAGAAUACGGUUAGAUCUGCUCAUCGUUAAUAUUACUCUGAUCAUACCGACCAUCCCUAAAGCAAGUGACAAAUACAUGUGUCGCACGUACGCACAAAUCAUUAGUUCAUACAAUACAACUUCAUUCUCCCUAAGUGAGAACAGAACACAUCAGGCUAAAUAGGCCCUUCUUUUCUUAUUGCUUGCAUUUUGUAUAACUACCAAUAUCCCAAUGAACAAUUCAUGAUGUUAAAACACACUCAAAACUCAUAAAACCUGUAAAACUGUAUAUCAAAUGACCAUCUACAUACAUUUUUAAGCUUCACAUCACCAAACAAGAUGCAUCCAACGCAGGACUAGUGUGUUGUGAUAUAAAAGGCCUUCAUUCUGAAUCUCCUCAUCACUAUCAAAAAUGUGCAUGGGGUACAUUAGAUGCCUGUGUAAUUCACCUGUGGAGUUGCCUUGAUCUUAAAGAACAUCCCAAACAAUCUCGUCAAUCAACUCUUCUACUAUCUCUGAUUCAAUCUCGCUUCCGAGCACAUCGACGUCCUCAUGCAUUACGCGGGACCAAGGCGUCGUGCUUAGAUCGCGGGCCACGAGGCUGUCCAAGGAAUUCGAGACGCAUAUCGGCGGGUUCCCGUAUUUCUGGAUCCGCCGCCACAGUUCGUCCAACAGUCUUUUGCCGUGCGGCAUUCUCCUGAAUUCGAGAAACCAAUUCUUGAAUCUGGAGCAAGUGAGGGGAGCUUGCAGCACCGUCGGCAGCGCCUCGUUGACCAAAUCGAAGAGCAUUCGGUGGCUUACGUCGGCGUCGUAACUAGAAAGAGAUGCGGCAAUAUCGUCAACUUUCCGAAUUUCGAUGCCGCAGGUCUCCUCCACUUCCUCGAACACCCACUUCGGGAUGGGCUUUGUCGAGAUGUCCCAACCGGAAAAGACUUGAUCGAAGGGCUGGGCCUCAUACAAUCCUGCGAUGACAAGAAUAUUUCUGACGAAAGCUUUCGCAGUACUUUCACAUGCUUCUACUUCAAUUUUCACUUCCUCCGAUCGCUCACCGUCGGUUCGUUCUCGCACAACCGUCGGCCCUGCGAGAGAUAACGAAAAUCGUUAACAUGUUACAGCAAUGCAAACUGAGUACUCAAGAUGAUGAUUAAAUAAGAAUGAGGAACUAAUCUUGGUCCUACCGGGACUUUCCGAGCUUAUAUUUGCAUUUGCUUGUGAUGAAGAGAUGUCUUCAGUAAAAGCAGCCUCCAGUGGGGACACAGGACUCGGAUACCCGGCCCGACAUAUCUCGUCAGCGGAGUUGCUGCACACGGAUGCAGGGCUCGGCGGAACUUCGGUAGAGUUCUCCUGUCAGCGAAAGAAAAAGAAAGAUUGCCAAAUCAGUUUCUGCCUCACAAUUAUGUAACACAAGGCGCGUGAGAUCCCCAAGCAUGCUAACUUGCCUGUAGAACGCCCGCAUUCACGACCACCGACGGCUCAGUUGCGAAACUCCUCAUUGGUAGGAAUCCAUCUACAGCUGUUUCGUCGGUCAGCCGUGUCUUCUUCCCGAAAAAUUUACCUUUCAAUGUGAAGUUCUGUCGUAAACUCGAGACCUUUCCUUUCAGAUCGAAGGCAUCUUUUCUGACUUUCCUCGAUUCCGGGUGAUUGCGGUGGUCGGGAGCCUCAUGCUUCCUCCUCACUUGAGCCCCUGUCAAUACAUGCUGAUCCUCCGACAGAAGCUUCACAAAAGCAGUUCCUGAUACCGGCGCGGAUAAUGAUCUAACGAGAUUCCUCGGGGAAACAGCCUCGGCGUCGAACGCAACGGGGCGUUGGUGGUCUUGUCUGAAUGAUCUGGUUUUCGAUUCGACUAGAGAAAUAUUGUCUUCCCAGUUUUUAAUCCUUUUACCUUUCUUCGCAAUUUCGUACGCCGGUCUCGACCUCGCUGCCUCUUCGAAUGAGAGGGAGGUGGCUCUUCUUCGAUGGGAAACAAACCGAGUUUCGCUAUCCAUUUCAUUUUUGAGCGCGCUCUUCAGUCUCUCCGACAACAGCUUCCUCGUGUCUGUGCCUGCGAAUUCUGCGAGGUUCUGUCGAUUGAAUCGGUUUUCGCUCUGAUACGACCUUGUUGAUUUCGACCGCAACAGCGUAGAGUCGAAGUCCUUAGUCACUGUCUCUUUGAUGUGGUUCGCUAUGGUUCGUGCGAUUUGUUUCGGAUCGGUCGACCGUUUGCUGAACGACGCAUCGUUGCAAACCCAUCUGGACUUUCUAUCCUGAAUUUUUCCUUCAAUCUCCAACUUGAGCCUGUUUUUGACUUCUUCGAGAAAAUCUUGGAUAUUGUUUUCACUUUUUAUCAACUCGGGUGAGCACACGGAUGAUUCUUCGAUACCGUCACUUAUUUCAGGACAAGGUUUAAGAAUCACUAUCUUUGUCGGCAACGGAGAUGUAUCCUCCUCAUGCUCGAAUUCAACAAUCGGUGAGUGCGUGAAACAGUGUUUCUCGCCUUUCGCUACAUCUACGUCAUUGUAUAAGCUCGAUCUACUCUCUCGGUUAGCGUUUCUAGUCUCGACGCUCUUUUUCGACGUAUUCCUAGUGAAAUUUGCAAGGCUAACUGCUUUUCCUUUGUCAAAAUGUUCAAGCGAGGGGAUUCUGCCGAUUCGGGCCCUUUCGUCAUUUCUCUCUUCAAAAUUCCCCGAAUUCUCCCACACUUUGGAUGCUUGCCACGCCUCGAAUUCUCUCUUGAACUUCUGCAGUAGUUCUUCUUGCGGAUGUUCUCUCGCGUGCGGUUUCCUCCGCUCGGGUUCUUUGGCAAAUUGACCUGAAUCUCGGUUAAAUUCGUAGGGUGCUAAUUCGUGCUUCACUUGCUUGCGUUGAUUCGACACGAGCGGCGCGUUCUUAAGGGGUUCCAUUCUUCGAAUUCGUUCCUUAUCUCUCCACUCGUCCACGGGGAUCGUAGGCUUCACCUCCAAUGGCAAUGUGUCCAUACCCAUUAAACGAGCUAUAACACCCGGUCGAUUGUAUCGGCCAUUCGUCUCGUCCGAGACCUCCCCAUCAAUGAGUUUCUUUACAGUCACUCCGCUCGGACAAGAGCUUGUUUUCGGGUGGUGCUUCACAUGGCAAGAGUACUGCAGUGACAACUAUCAGAUGUUUUAUCAGCAUGAAUAUCAGCAUUAACUUUGGAAGCAUACAAUAUAAAUACUCCAUGCGAAUACGAAUUAACGAAGGUUUCGGACAGAUCAGAAGAAAAGUAUAAACAUUUUGCGAACUAAUUCGACAAACAGAGUCAAAAGAAUCAAAAGAAACAAUUCAAUCGCAUACCGGAAUGUCAUCAUUAAUGAUAUUGUAGCUCAGGGAUGCAUCUGAGGGAAACUCCAAGCUGUUCCUAGGGGCUUCAAUCCCUGCUGACAAAAGAAAAGAACACAGAUUAAGCUUCCAUCAUUCUUCGAUUCGUCUAAUUGGAUUUCGAUUGGGACUUUGUACAACACAAAUUGAAUUGCUAAGAAGCACAAAUUGUGUGUGAAAUUCGCACCGUCGUUGCGCGCCUUAUGCGACAAUUUUCGGGAUGAACUAGGCUGACUGAAGUCAAAGUACUGUAAUAUGCCAGCCAUCAUUUUGUUUUUCCUUUUUCUUUUUUUUGUUGUUGUUGUUCACAGAUUUGAUUAGUAUAGACCAAGUUCUACAAUAACCAACAUAAUAUAAAUUGAUUUUAACCUGCAAAGAUCACAAGAAAUCUAAAUUUUAGUUCAUAUAUAGCAGGGAACAAAGCAAAAAAGAACAAGAAGAGGGACACAUCUAGACUAAGAUUGUUCAAUUGAUGAUCAACAGGGAGAACAGAGAGGAAUUCAUAACAAACUCACAAAUGGAAAAAUGCAAUUAGCUACUAAAAAUGGAACAUAUCCUUCCUAUGCCAAGAACACCCAAAUUGUAUGCAAAAAACUACAAAGAAUCCAAAAUUCCACCACCCAAUCUCACCAAAGAUCAAAUUUUGCAUCCAGAAUCAGAAGAAACACCACCUAAAAUAGAAAAUCCACAUUUCCUUUCUCAGAAAAAAUUCCUCAGAGACCAAAAAGCAACCUUCUUGUGCUCCUUACUUGCUCUCUCUCUCUCUCUCUCUCUCUCUCUCUCUCUCUCUCUUUCUAUCUCUACAAUUGAAGGGGUAGAGGAAGAAGAGAGAACCUUGACAUGCUAUGUUAUGAUACUGAUGAUGAUGAUGAUGCAAAAAAUAAGCUUUUUAGUUUAACAACACCAACAACAACCACCCAUGAGAGAGAGAGAGAGAGAGAGAGAGAGAGAGAGAGAGAGAGAGAGAGGAGAGGAGAGGGAGAGAGAGAGAGGAAAGGUACAGCAAUAAAGUGAAACCAUCCUCUUUCUCUCUCUAUAUAUUAAUUUUCUCCUUGUUUUUAUCCUCCAAACCAAUUAACCUCACACCUCUUUGGUUUUUGACAACUCUUCAUCCUAUUCAUUAGUACCCAAAAGAUGGUUUGAAAAAAGAUUAAAUUUUACGAAAUAACCGUUUUCACCAAAUACUCAAACUUUUAAUUAGAGAACAAUAUUUAUUUUUUAAAAUUUAACAUUCUACCAUAACAGAAUAAUGUUCUAAAUUCAAAUUUUGCAAAAACUUCUGAUAUUAUAUAAUUUUCUUCUAUUUAAUAUAAUUUCAUAUUUUAGAUUUAUCAAAGAGUUUCGAGUUUAGAGCAGAGAAAAAGAAGUACUGAAUAUAAAUAUUAAAAAUAUUAUUAUUUGAAAUUUUAAGUUUAUUUUAAAAUAAUAUUUGUUUUUGCAUAUUUUUUUUGUAAAAAAAUGUUAUACUUGUAUCAUCUUUUUGCUCCUCUCUCUCUUUGGUUUGGGGGACAGCUCAUGAAGGCGGGGAGAAUGGUUGUUAUAAACUUUUUUUUUUCUUUUUCUUUUUUUUUUGGGCGCUCCAUUUGGCGCCAUUUUUAUAAACGGCCAGAGGCGUUUAAUGAUCUUUUAUAUUAUAGCGUGACAGUUUUUUAAUUUUUUUUAACUAAUAUAUUGUAUUAUUAUUAUUAUUAUUAUUUUAUUUUCUGUUUUUUAAUGAAGUGGUCAGAGUCAUGUGGAAUGUGAGUUGUUACCUGUUAGGCUUUUCCCCUGGAGGAGGGUUUUGUAGGUUUUUUUUUUGGUUUGAUUACUUCCCUGCAUGAAAAGGACUUCCCAUGAUUCCAUAGGCUUUUUUUUUUUUCCUUUUUUAAUCUAGAGAUGUUAUGUUAUGUUUGUUUGGGUCAGUAUCUGCUUCUGUUCUCGGCUGCAGUCAUUUACAGAUCAUUUUAGACAGUAAAAAAUAAAAAAAUGAAAAAAUUAGGCCUCGUAUAACAUAAUUUAUGUUUUUUAUUUUUAGCAAAAGAACUUUUAUCUUUGAAAGCAGUAAAAAGAAUUGAAUGAAAAAAUUAAAAGCAAUGCACCAUUUCGUCCUACACAAUUAUACAUUGGAUUUCUAUUUUUUCAAAAAAAAAAAGAGGAAAGAGAUAAAGAUGUCAAGUGAGACUUCAACUCGAAAGUUUUAACUUUGCUGCUACUGAGAGAAGCUAUUUAAUAUAUCUUCAAAUUUUUUGGUAAUACGGUAUUAAAUGCAAUCAAUUUUGGUUAUCUAUGGUAAAAACAAAGUUAAAUGGUGUUAUCACUUUGUUAAUUACACCUAACACAGUACCAAUUAUCCUCUCCUCUUUUUUGGUAACAUGGUAUUAAAGGUAGUCAAAUUUUGUUAUCUAUGGUUAAAACAAAGGUUAAAUGGUGUUAUGAUCAUUUUGUUACAUGCAUGCACCUAACACCGUACCAAUCAUCCUCUCCUCUAUUAAUGCACUAUAUAUAUAUAUAUAUAUAUAUAUAUAUAUAUAUAUAGAGAGAGAGAGAGAGAGAGAGAGAGAGAGAGAGAGAGGCUGGGGCUACUAUAUUCAUAUGAGUAUAGAACCCUUUGUACUCAUAAGUUUUCGACCGUUCAGAUAAAAAAAAUGUACGGUUAGGAUAAGAAUGGUUACGGUUAGGUUGAUAGUGGGCCCCCCUAGGGUUGAGUGAGUGGUUGGUUGAAUAGUAUAAUNUAUAUAUAUAUAUAUAUAUAUAUAUAUAUAUAUAUAUUCCUUGUCAUAUUAGGGGAAAAAAAAAAAGAAAAGGAGAGAGAAUAUUCUAGCAAAAGAUGCAUGAAUGAGGAGAGAGAGAAUUUUCUCUUCUCUUUUAUGUGGUUUGCAUGAAUAGGAGGUAGUUGUUGUCAAUAUAUAUAUAGAAGACCACUUAAAUCUUUCUCAAAUAGCCGGCUAAUUAAUUAGCAUCUUAUGACAAAAAAAUGUUCUACUAAUGAUGUUGCAUAUAUCCCUUAUUAAAACUAUUCGAUUACUAAGCAAAUAAAAUAAAUAAAAAUAAACUAACCAAUUAUGGCAAUAAUAAUAAAAAAAAAGUUUUACAAGUGACAUGUCAAAUUACAUAGAAUUAGAAUUUAUAAAAAUAAAAAAAUACAACAGCAUAUAUCAAACAAGGCAUAUGCAAUUCUAGUAUCUUAAUUAACUCACAGCAAUAUAUAUAUACUCGACACGAUAUCAUUUUCUAUAUAUCAUGCUUUCGCAUUGCAUGUAACGUAGUUUAUCUGCAAUCUCAAAUGAUACUGUAUUUAUUAUUGUUUUCUAUAUAUCGUGCUUUCUCACUGUAUGUAAUAUAUGCAGCCUAUCUAUAAUUUCAAAUAACGUUGAAUUUGUCGCUGGCCCUUCUUAAAUUAAUUUACGGAGAAUUGCGUUUACAUGGGAAGAAUCUUGCUGACGUUUUCAAAACAUCGCCACAUGCAUGCAUUAAUUUAUGUAACACCUUGAGAUGAGAUUGUUUUGUGGUGGUUAGAGAAUAUGAAGCUUAAUAACAAUUAACAAAAGAUUAAAGAUUAAUUAGGUGGAUGACAAAUUAGUAAUGUUUUAUUUUUUAAUUUUUUAUUUAUUUAUUUUUUGUAGAUUGAUCUCCAACUUCCUCAGAGAAUCUCAAUUUCGUCCUUCAUCUGCAUGUCUCAAGUACAGAUCACACGAACUAUGGGAGAUAUAAAAUAAUAAUAAGAAUAAAAAAGAUAUGUAGAGACUCCCUUAACUAUAUGGCAUUUUGAAAGAGACCCUAGCUAGAAUUUGAUUUUUUUUUUUUUUUUUAAUUAGGACCUCACUCAAAUUUUCGUUUCUUUAGUUAUGGUAUCAUUAGAAUUAUAAAUGAAAAUUUUUAUCGAUUUGAAUGAUUUUUCCUACUAAAUUUAACAGAGUUACUAAGAAGUUAAGAAAUUGGAUUGAAAUUAAAGAGAAUAAAAGUUUGAGGAAUUGAUUUCAAAAUGGGCUGUAGAUUAGAGUCACUUUAUAAUAAGAUAUUAUUUAUUAAUUUGGACCACUUAAUUUAAAUGUAAAUAAAUAAGAAAACAUUCCAUAUUUCACUGCCAAAAAAUGCACAUGGCAAAGAUCUCACUUUAUCUUUUGAUGCAACAUGCUUUGGAUUAAUCGAUACUUAAAAAAAGGAGAGAAAAAAAAAGUAACCUAAAGCAUUUUUAAGUAGCCUCCUAAAGAAUAAUAUACGCAUUGCUAAUUUUCGCUUCUAUUUUUCUUUUUUUUUCCCCUCCAUCCAAAUGAAUGUCAAGAUGAUUAAUGGAAUUACGAUUGUAUUUAGUGGUGAGUAUAUAGAGAUGAAAUUUUAACUCAAAUAAGGAACUAUCCAUCCAGUACAAUAAUAUCAAAAACAUGUGAAUCCAGUGUUAUCUUAAUACAAUCGACCGUCGGUGGCGCAGGUGGCGCAGAUGAUAAAGAGGUUGGUGGUUGGUAUUCGAAAUUUCGAGUUCGAAUCCUAAUUAAUUCAUAUUUCAGCUAAUUUUUAUUUAAUAAAAUAAAUAAAACGGAUAACAUAUUACCUGUCUAUCUAAAAAAAACAAGUUAUCUUAAUACACACACAAUCCAAUCUAUGCCCUUUUAAACUUUUUGUUGUAAAAAAUAAAUUUUUUUUAAAAAAGUAGCAUCUUAAAUGAAUAAAUCACAUGGUGGGACCCAUCCCCGACAUCAAUGCAAUUGGGUGUCCUACACGUCAUGGAUUACCAGAAGGAGAAGGGCGUCAACGAACUUUGACUUCUCACUAGACCAUCUCUCUCUCUCUAGGUUCGUUUUAGAUUGCAGAUGUAAUACGUUACGUGCAAUAAAAAAAUAUAAAUAAAAAAAUAUAUAUCUGCUCUCUGAGAGGAAAAAUUCUAGAAUGCAACGGAUAUAUUGGUGACGUGGCGUAACAAACCAAUUAAAAGUCUCCUUUUAAAGAUAUAUGUUCCAUCAUGAUUAUAAAAAAGUAUUCUUAUUGUACUUUUGUUUGAAAAGAAGAAAUGUAAUUGACUUGUUAUUGAUGAUGUGGUGUAAGUGUGAUAGUGUAGAAUUCCUCCUCUGAGAGACUGUUCGGUUCGAAAUAAUUAUAAAUAUAAUAUAGUUGAAAAUGCAUAUAGCUAAAAAUACAGUAAUAUGCAUUUUAUUUGGUUGAUCCAUUAGAAACACUAUAGUUAUAAAUAUUUCGUUUGGCGCCGGCUACAUGUAGCUGAAAAGUACAUUUACAAAUUUUUAUCAUUUUAUAGUUAAAAUCCUGAGACUACCCCUUAUAUAGAAAAGAAAAAAAAAGAAGAAAAUCUAUUAAACAGAUUAUUAGGAAGGUAAAUUUAUCUUUAUUUAAAAUUACCCUUCUUCAGCUGCAACGCUCGAAUUCAAAUGCAUCAAAAGAAACGCCAAAUUUAAAUCUAUAUGCAGUUACAACUGUAGUACUGUUAUAACUACGCGCAAUCAAAUCGUCUUAGUGUCAUUGAGGCCAUUUGAUGAUGGCCACUUUGACUAGCUAGCUAGGUGGGCAAACACACAUCACUCCAUAAUAAAUAAAGAAAAAAGAAGAAAGAGUUUAUGUGGGUUGUAAAGGAAAUUAAGGGUGGGCAUAAACAGUACAAGAGACUUUUUAAAAUAGAUAAUGGCAACGUUAUGAAAGGUAGCAGCUAGCUUUGCUUUUCUCCCAUCUUUCCGCGGCUUUUUGAGGUCCUACAGCAAAACACAAAUCAUGUGAAAGCCGCUCCUUUUUAGCUUCCCGGAUAAGCUCUGCACAAACACUUGCGUGGUCCAAAUUAAUAAAGCGCUUGCUAAUUCUCUUUACCAUCCAGCUACGUGCAGUGUAUGUGUUCGAAUGUAACGAUUCAUAAACGCGAAGAAUAUAUAUAUACUAGUAGUGGUAGUAGUAAUCAAAUCCCACUCGCUAUCAUCAUGACGAGCAUGCAUGUACGUAGUUUCUUUCUUCGGAUGUUAGGGUAUGUUUGGUUCACCUAUUUUAGACUAUGGAAUAGGAAUGAAAUUUAUUGAUUCCGAUAGUUGCCGUUUGUUUUAUAGGAAUCGAAUUCGGAUUCCUAUUCCACUCCGGAAUGGGAAUGGCCAAAUCCAUUUAUGAUCCAAUCCGGCUUUGAAUCUCAGAUUGGCUCAUUUUAAAGUAAACUAUUUAAAAUUCUCUCUUUCAUCAACAUCUAUCUCCUCUCCCUUCAUCACUUUCCUCUCUCUUAAUCAAAAUCCUCUAAAUUUCAUUCCGAUUUCCAUUUCAAUAAUGAACCAAAUAUUUUUGGAUUAUUCGUCGUUUCAUUUUCCAUUCUAAAGCAAUCCAAUUUCAUUUUUCAUUCCUAUUCCAAUCAUGAACCAAGCAUGCCCUUAAUGUUAAUUAUUAUUAUUAUACUUGGUUUGGAGAAUAGUAGUAUUCGUGGGUCGGUUGAUGUUCGCAACACAGCUUUUUUAUAUGUUCAUUACGCCUUUUGUUGCAAUACUAUAGAAUGAAAUUGCGUUAAUUUGACUAGCCAAAAUGGAUGGGGUAAAAUAAUUUUCGAUGGUAUAUAUUUAUUUUUGUUGUUUGAUUCAUCGUGAGGGUUGAAACUCCACUUUUUAAAAAGCCGUAAUUGAUUGAUUUCAUUCUAAGUGGUGCUGAAGCCGCUUACCGAAGAGAAUGAAAUAGAAAAAAUAAUGGAAAAUUAAAUUAAUGUAAUUUUAAUUAUCUUUUUUACAUGCUAGUGUGAAAAUUAUGAGUGAAAUAAAUAAAAAAAAAGGUGUGCAAAUUUUUUUGUAAUAUAAAAAAAGAGAGGUAAUUAUGGUUCUAAAGUUAUUAACUUUUUAUCAAAUAAACAACGAAAAAUCAAUAGAACUGCAGUUCAAUCGAAAAGUCAUUUUCAAUGUGAAAAUUACUUGCAAGCAAACAAACAAACAAGCCCUAACUGAGAGAUGGAUGGAUCACUGCUAAAGAGUCUACAUCAAAAUCACAUUUUUCGAAUUCGACACGCAGCAAUGGAAUGGACGGCCCACCGAUCGAAUUUCUUAAUACUGGGUGCAGGAUAUUUUUGAUCAUAAGAUGGAUAGUGUUAAAAACAGGUAAAAUUUUAAUUUUUUAAAAACAUCAAAUACUGCAAAUUACAUUGCCCGUAGUUAUUUCAAACACAGAGAUCUCCGUGCUUACAAGUGCACCUCAACUUAAAUUGAGAAUUCUAGUUAUAUGAUUUCAAAACCCACAACAUGGGCGUAAAUGUUGUUCGAUCUUUUUAGGUAGCCGAACAAUAAAACGAAUUGGAAAGGAUACAUAUCAGAAGAUUCGGCUUGGGCUCGAUCGACACCUCUUCUUUAAUUGGAUCCGAGUCCAAUCCAAAAGGUCGUCCUACACGACCACAAAUUAACAACGUUGUUGUAGGAGUUUUUCUCUGUUGACAAAACAGAAGGAGAAAGGAACAAAAAAAACUGGAAUUAAAAAUAUACAGCUUUUCGAAUAAUAAACAGCAUGGAAUUGACGACAAACAAACUCCCAGAUUCACUACGAAUUUCUUGGUUUGACUGAAAACAAAACCGCAGAAUAGUAGAAAGUCUCGGUCAGCGACAGAAGGAAAUGCAAGGGAAUAUUAAUCUAGCGAAGGGUGGUGAGAUAAGACUUAACGAAAUUUUAACAAUUUGUAUACACAAGCAUGAAGCGGGGAGUUGGGGGAGGGAAUCAAUGCUUGUGCAGCAUGUCGACCAACUGGUUGUAAAUACUUUCUCGAAUCGUAUCUCUAUUUCCUGCAUUUACUGUGAACACAGUUGCACCAGGAUGGUUCCUCAACCUCGCUACUGCAAAAACAUGAAAUGAAGUUUAUCUCGCGAUUCGACGACACGUUAGCAAACAGCAAAAACUGCAUCUCAAUUUCAAGCAACAUAUAUAUACAAAUCAGAAUAAUCAGCACUUGUUUUUUUUUUCUGUAGUUAGGCCAUUUCAUAAUUCAACAAAUUUAUUUCUCCGCAUAAUCAUUUUCAUCGAGCUGUAUAUUGAGUAAGAGAGAGGAGUACCCCCGGGGAUGUCGCGGCCGAACCUUGGUAUAGGUAUGGAUGCCAAAACUGGGGUGCCAGACUCAAGAACUUUGAGGACAGCUGGGAAGAAGGAUGAACUGAACAACUCCAUCUUACCGACUUCAUCUAUAAUGAAGAGAUCAGUUCCCUCUUUGACCUGACAUCGCAAGAUUUUUAGUAAGUAAUGCAACCAACAUAACAACUUCAAGCAUGAAUUUCCUGCCGUGCCGAAGUAGGGAUGCAAAUGGAUCCAGGCUGGUGGAGAUCCCACCACUGAUCCCCUCCCUCUUCCACCCCGUUUGCAUCCCUAUGCUAAAGGAUGCUUCCUUGAAUGUGGCGUGCUGCUCUACACCACAAUACAUAAUGGGGAGUGGCGAUUGUUUUACACUUAUCAGAAUCUUAUGCAGUGUGAGUUGAGAUCCUAUUAUCACCCUGUAUUGAGAGCACAAGCUUCUACCAAGCCAUGCCUGCUGGCUUCAAAACGUGUUUGAAGCUCGUUUGGAUCAUAGGGACCUAUUUUUUUUUGCAGACAAUCCCGCCUUUCACCAGUAAUAACAUGCCUAUAGCUCAUCAAUGAAUAAGUAUGGCAGGUUUAGACAGUUCUUGGAUUAAUUAAAAAUGGUACCGAUAGUUACAAAACACUGCUUACCUGCAACUCGGGCAAUGCCAAUGAUUCCAAUGAUGCCACAUCUACUUUGUAUUUUCCAACCGUAGGCCAUCUAAGUGACUCUGCGCUGCAAUAUCAAGGACAAAAUUAUGUGGAUCCAAAAGGAGAAAGGAUCAGCUGUACUAUGUGCACAGACAAGAAAUCAAAGAAAUCAAAGACGAAAAUGUUACAAAAUCUCUACGCAAAUAAAACAUAGGUGAGUAAUCAAGGGAGUAGCCGGAUCAUAUAUCGAACAUUCGGUAACUAAGAGACUCGUGUUCUAUGUUAUAACAAUCAAGAUAAAUUACCAACCGUCCCUAGAGCAAGUGGCAAAGGGCUUGUGGUUGGUACCCGAGGUCCCAAGUUCGAAUCCUAGUUGAUUCACAUUUCCAACUAAAUUUAUUUCUAAGUGAAAUAAAUGAAGCGGAUAGCAUGCUACCUACCUCUCAACAAUCAAGAUAAAUUCAUGCCAUACAAAUCUGUAACUUUUCUUCACAAUACUUGAGAAGUUGAGACUGUAUGCCAUAAUCGGUAGUACCACACCAGAGAUUUAGUUCACAGCACGUUCCAGCUUGAGAUAUUUUUAAAUUGCUCUACAUAAGAGCUAACAAUAAAAAGGGGCGACACUUGAGUGAGAACUUCACUUUUUCGAGCAUAUGUGAAACCAAAAGGGCAGGUCUAGUUAGAACCAUAGAACCUUAUGAAAGCUCCCUUGCGGAGUGCCAGCUAAUGUUGCUGUACUAUUUUUGAAGAUGUACUAGUGAAGAUCCCUCAACGCUCUCCAAACUUCACCUUCACUAAGGGCAUAUUUGGUUCAUGAUUGGAAUGAAAAUGGAGAAUAAGAUUGGAUUGCAUUGGAAUAGAAGAUGGAAUGACGAAUCAUCCACAAUUGUUUGGUUCAUUAUUGGAUUGAAAAUUGAAAUGGACAACCAGGACACCUAGAAUUUUGAAAUAGGGUUUUGGUGAAGGGAGAGGAGAGUGAUGAAGGGAGAGGAGGGGGAUGUAUUUGCGAAAGAGAUUUUGAGUGGUUUACUCCAGAAUAGGCCAAUUCAGGAUUCAAAGCUGGAUUGGACCAUAAAUAAAUUGACUCAUAUUUCCAUUCUAGAGUAGAAUGGGAAUCCGAAUCCGAUUCCCGUAAAACAUACAACAACUAUCAGAAGCAGUGAAUCUCAUUAUAAUUCCAGUCUAAAAUAGGUGAGCCAAAUAAGCCAAUGUAGGCAGUGAUUCGUAAUUAGUACGAGAGUUUAUGGUAAACAGGGAUAAAUUUUAUGGUAAACAGGGAUAAAUUAAAGGCCCACCAAGAAAUUACUCCCUUGCUCCGACGACAACCAAUAGGAAAUCAGGAUGUAAUUUCUCCAUACAAUUAGCACAACAAUCACAUAGAAAGCUCUAAACAAUGAGCUGGUGUUUCACCUCUUACUAAGUCAGAAGUUAAAUAAUCACUGCAAUAUGAUCAGAUAAAAGGAAGAUCGCAAGUAAGCAUAUAAAUGCAUGUUACAACUACUCUACACUAAACAAAGUUGAUCAGUUCAGAGGAACAAACCAAAUUAGAAACUUCAGGAAAAAAAAAAAAAAAUCAACCUCGAGAUUUUGGAGGAAGCGAGGGGGCCGCGUCGACCGUCGAGGGUGACGACCUCGAACCCAACCCUUUCGGAGCCCUCUCGAACCUCCCCUACAACGCCAAUAGAGACACGAUUAGGCGAAGCGAAGGUAUGGUGGAAGGCGAAAUUAGGGCAGAGGGAGUAGUACGCGUGUAGAAGCCGCGGAUGGUGAGGUGAGGGUGCGAGGCUCGUAGGGUUUCGAAAACCCUCAUCACCAGCGUCGUCUUCCCCACGCCCUGCGCCACAAAUCCCAAUCCCAAAACCACCGACCAUUGAUCAGAAACUCUCUCGAGCACUAGGGUUUCGAAGUAGAGAGAGAGAGAGAGAGAGAGAGAGAGGGGGGCGGGUGUUUUACGGGAGGGCCCGUGACGAGGAGGCAUUUGCUCGGAGCAGUGGCCAUCGCGCGUGCGCGACGUCGCAGCGUCGGUCGCUCCCCGUGCCCGACGCGGGAGAAGGGUUUAAUGGGGGGGAAUGGGGGGAGAUGAACCCGAGUUGCAUGACCCGACCCAGUCGUGUCCGACCAGGUUCGACCUGAUUUGUCGCGGUAACACGAACCCAAGGUCGACCGAACCCGAGCCUGGCUCGCUUAGAAAUUAUGGAAAAUCCGAGAAAGCUUAUGCACGACAGCGAAAGUGUGCCCAACAAGAAGAUAAAAAGGAAAUUAUUUUUUAGAUAUGUAGCUUAACAAUUCUUAAAUGGGACAAAUAACAAGCUGAAAUUAUUAAUAUUGUAAAUAAUAAACUAUAAAUUACGUAAUCACAAGGUUUUAUUAACCGUUCUCAUUCCAAUGCCGUAGUCCUUGUGUACGGAGAAACCUCUAGUAACCUCUUCUGGGACUCCCAUUAUAGCAAAUGAAAUGCGACUGUUACCGUACGAACCACACUUCCCGUACAUCAGUAUUCAUGAGACUUUGGUUGGUUGGUUAAACUAGAAGCCCUCGAAUAAUAUUUAUUCCAUCUUUUCCUACCUUUAAUAAAACCCGGCAGGCAAAUACUCCAAAUAAAAUAAAAUAAAAUAAAAUAAAAUAAAAUCCAUUAAUGUAGACAACAGUAAAAUUUAGUUUAAGCUUGGCUUGCAGAAUGCUAAAAUAAUGCAUGAUAAGAGCAGUGCAAGACCGAAUGAUUUUCAUUAGAGUCCACCAAAUGCUUAUUCUUGAUGCAGUAUUGUUCAACAAAAUACAUAAAGCAGAUUUAACUUUAAUUCGAAAGUGAUUUUCAAGGCAUGGAGCCUGGAAUUUACGGAACAAGCAUAACAUAUUGCAUUUGCAAAAAAUGUGACUCCAUGUACUCCUCAAGCAUUGUGGCAGAGAGACCUAAACCAGUCUAGUUUUUGCCUAAAUGCUUCAACAAAGAAAGAAAAGAAAAAAAUGUUGAGCUUCACUUCACUGAAAUCUCCAAAACUUAGGGGCUAUAUGGCCCACCAACAAAAUAGACCAGCUUAUACAUUUGGUCAUAUGAUAUGCACCAAUGUGAAGAAACUAGCAAGUAUAAAAGUGUUGAAUACCUAUCAGCCUUAUCAGUUAUAGAAGUCGGAAACUAAGGCAAAAGUGUUGAAUACCUAUCAGCCCUACCAGUUAUAGAAGUCGGAAACUAAGACAAGCAAAUUACAGAUGCUUGAUUCGCAUAACUUGCACUUUCAGUUAUCAACUAACACAUGCAGAAAACAUACAAAAUCUACGUUUGCUGAAAACAAAAUUUUACGUACAGAGGAAACAACCACAUGGAGAACAGCAGAAGGCGAACAAAACCAGAGGCUUCUGGUUAGUGAUUAGUAGCAGUGAACAGAAACACAAGAACCUUCAACAUGGGGGGUUAGGGGACAAAUUUGAAAAAGUAGAAAAACAAUAAGAAACAGAGCAACUAAAAGCAAUGCAUCUUUUCUACUGAGCUAAACAUAGAUUCUAGGUACACCUACUAGUCAUAUCUUAAAAAUCUACCCAUAACAACAGAGUGAAAGAGAAGCAACUCAAGCCCCAUCUACUACCCCCACAUUCCCAUACUACCUAUUUACUCCUCAUCAUCUUCUUCCUGCAAUAAACAAUAUCGUAAGUCGUAUUUUAACAGUACCGGUUAAAAUAGAUUGGUGCUUUUGCGAAGUAAGGAGGGAGAAUAGUAUUUACCUCUCCACUCUCUUCUUGUUCUUCGUCCUCGACCUCAGACUUGGACUUGUCGGAUGCUUCCUCUUCCUCACCGCUAGCAUUCCCUUCAUCAUCGCCCUCGGCCUAAUCCCAACAUGCAGAAGAUAGUAGAUCAAUCCAAAUAAGAAUUUUGUAAUUAUCAGAUCAAACUCAAUGGAAUCGCACAACAUCUACAAACUGCGAAAAAGCUCUCUUUUUUCUCAGGGAAUAAGCUAAUACCUUCUUAUUGUAUGCAGCCAUGCUCUUUUCAUAAUCAGCCUUGCGCUUUGCCGCUUUUGCCACAAAAGGGGCCUUCUCCUGCAUUUUGAGGAAAAGAACAUGGAGAAAUUUUUUUGAAAAAAAAAUCAUAUGGAGUAAUCACAAAUAAUAUCGAAUCAUGUAGUAUUAAUUUGCAAUUUGCCUGAAAUAAUUACUAACCGACUCUGACAUAGCUUUCCAUUUAGCUCCACCAGCUUUGCUAACCUAAUUUACAGCAAAAAAUUAAAAUAAAAAAUCUAAAAAUUUACAGAAAAUUGGGGAAAAAAAAAAUUAGAAAACGACAAUGUAGUUGGAGCCCAAGAGGAGAAAUUGCUUACAACGGAGACAAGUUUGUUGUUAGGGUUCUUCUCCUGGUACUGCUUCCUAAACUCCUCCCUUCAGAUAAAAACCGCAAAAGAUUAGCAAAUAUUAAAAGAUUAAUGUUUAUGUUUAUGUUUAUGUUUAUAACGAAACCCUAAAAGAGCGAUCGAAAGGGAGAUUUUAAGGGCUGAUUACAUGAAAACGAAGAAGGCGCUCGGAGGCCUCUUCGGCUUGUUGGGAUCCUUCCCGAGUUUCUUCUCCCUCUUCGCCUGCUUCUUCCCCGCCGCACCCGCGCCCUUCCUCUUCACCGAGAGCCUUCGAAGACGGACAAAAAAUGCGAAUCACGCGACGAAUCCCUAGAUAGACAAACCCCUAGAGAUUUAAUAAUGAUCGAGAGAGGGGGAAAAAGGGUGCUCACCUGGUGUCGUCCUUGGAGGUCUCGGCCUUCGAUUUGGCCCCUUUCAUGGCGGAAACUGCGAGAGAACGCGUAGAUCGGUGAGAUUGCGGGCGAGAUCGGUGAGAAACCGAUCGAAAAGGGGCGAGGGAGAGAAAUCUUACCGUGCAAGUAGGGUUAGGGUUAGGGUUAGGGAUUCGGAAUGGGAGAAAAAAGAGGGGGAGAGAGAGAGAGAGAGAGAGAGAGAGAGAGGAGCGAGAGGAGGGAGAGAAGUGCAAGGAGAGGGGAAACGAGAAUUUGGGCGGGACUCGAAAAGCGCGAGAGCGCAAACAUUGGGUGCCACGUUGGGGAUCCGCGUGCUCGGCUCCCAUUGGCUAGCNCCUCGAUCUUUAACCUUUAUUCAACCUCAGUGUGGGGGCCUUUGGGCCUUUUCUUAAGGCCUAAACUUAACUUUUCCUUUUUUUUUUUUUUUUACUCCUUAACUGAUUUUUAAAUUAAAAACAAUUUUCUGUUAAAACAAAAAUGUAACUCGUUGUUAUAUAUAUUUGAUAGAAAGUAAAGGCCUUUUUGCAUAAAAAAUCCACUUAUUUUGGGCUUUUGCAAAACCGGGUCAUCUUUUUCGUUUUUGCAGAUUCGGUCCGCUUUUUCAGCAGACUGACCAAAAUACCCUUAUUACUUUUUCGCUUUCCUCUUUCUCUCUCCUGAAAAAAAAAGGCGAACCAUCGCCUUCUUCUUCACCAUCGCCUCCCUCCUCACCAUCGCCUCCCUCCUCACCAUCCUUCUUCACCGUCGCCCCCCUCCUCACCCUCCUCUCCACCGCCCGCGACCCCCUCCUCCUCUUCUCCACCGCCGCAGACCCCCAGCCCGAUCCCGUCGCCGCGGCGGCAGCGGCCGCGGCGAACGGGGUCGGGCUGGAUGCGAAGAAGAAGACAACGGCGAAGAAGAAGAAGGGGAGGCCAAGCGGCAGGGUGCAGGAGGGGGAGGCGGAAGCGCAACCUACGCCGGCACCAGCGCCGCGCGUGUUCUUCUCCGUCGGCGCUGCCCCUCCUCCCGCCGCCGCGCAGAAGCCGCCGACCAGCGCCUCUACUUCUCCCAGGACGACGUCGAGACGCCGCGUCCGCCGCGGACCCCCAGCCCGAUCCCAUCGUCGCAGCGGCAGCGAUCACGGCGAACGGGGUCGGACUGUUUUUUAUUUUAAACUGCACAUCUUUAACAGAUAUUUAUACUGCUUCUCCUCUUGUUGCACUGUUUCUCCUCUUGUUGCACUGUUUCUCCUCUUUAAAGAGGAGAAACAGUGCAAUAAGAAGAGAAACAUUGCAACAAGAGGAGAAGCAGUAUAAAUAUCUCUUAAAUGGAUGCAGUUUAAGAUAAAUGGGUGCAGUUUUUUUUCUUGUUGCACCAUUUUUUCUCUUGUUACACUGUUUUUUAUUUUAAAUUACACAUCUUUAACAGAUAUUUAUACUGUUUCUCCUCUCGUUGCACUGUUUCUCCUCUUUAAGAGGAGAAACAGUGCAACAAGAGGAAAACAGUGCAACAAGAGGAGAAGCAGUAUAAAUAUCUCUUAAAUGAGUGCAGUUUAAGAUAAAUGGGUGCAGUUUUUUUUCUUGUUGCACCAUUUCUCCUCUUAUUACACUAUUUUUUAUUUUAAACUACACAUCUUUAACAGAUAUUUAUACUGCUUCUCCUCUUGUUGCACUGUUUCUCCUCUUGUUGCACUGUUUCUCCUCUUUAAAGAGGAGAAACAGUGCAACAAGAGGAGAAACAGUGCAACAAGAGGAAAAGCAGUAAAAAUAUCUCUUAAAUGGGUGCAGUUUAAGAUAAAAAAAUAGUGUAACAAGAGGAGAAAUGAUGCAACAAGAGGAGAAACAGUGCAACUUUCAUUUAAAGAAUGUAAUUUUUAUCUUAGUAGGUGCAGUUUAUAUCUGAAAGAGUGCAAUAAGAAGAGAAACAAUGUAAAUAUCUUUCAAAGAGUGUAAUUUUUAUUUAAAAAGUGUAAUUUUAUUUUAAAGCUGCAGUUUACAUCUUAAAUAGUGCAACUUGUAAUUUUUUUGUAGUUAACGAUAUAAUUUCAUCUUCAUCCUUUUUUUUAUAUAAUUUUUUAUCUUUAUUUUUUUUCUGUUUUUUUUUGUCACCCUCUCUGUCAAUAGCAACGGUGUCGGUGACGACGCUGCUAAAGACCCCCCACUCCGAGGCUGCAGCGCCGCAGUGAUCUCCACGGUGUCGGCGUCGGUGUCGGCGAAGAUGCAUCGUCGUCGGAGGCAGCAGAGAAGGAGGGAGAAGGAGAGACGGGAAGGGCAGGGAAGAGCGAGAGAGGCGCCGUCGUCGGAAACUGUGGAGGAGAGUAAGAGAAGAAAAGAAAAGAAAAUUGCAAAAAAAAAAAAGUCACAGCCCGGCCUUAGGGGGAUCGAAAGCGAGGAAGGUGGGGGUGCCGGCGGCGACGCCGCUCUGUCUUCGCCGCUCUCUAGGAAGAGAGAAAAAAAAGAACGAGAGAAAAAAGAGAAAAGAAAAAGGUAUAAGAGCACCUCCGCUCCAUCUUCGCCGCUCUCUGGGAAGAAAAAGAAAAAAGAACGAGAGAAAAAAAGAGGAGAGAGAAAGAGGAAAGAGAAAAAGGUAUAAGGGUAUUUUGGUCAGUUUGCUGAAAAAGCGGACCGAAUCUGCAAAAGCCAAAAAGAUGGCCCGAUUUUGCAAAAGCCCAAAAUAAGUGAAUUUUUUAUGCAAAUUGGCCGAAAGUAAAUGACUAUAUAUUUUUUUAUCUUAUUAAAAACUUUCAUACUACCAUAUAUGAAAAUGCCCGAUUUUCAAAACAUAAUUUUAAAAUACAAUUUUCUGAUUUAAAAAAUAUUUUAUGUGUUUGGUUAUUAAGAAUUCUUUUCCAAAUUUUAUGAAAAUUUUUCUAUUUUAAAAUUUUUUGUUAAAAAAAUAAAAACUACUAAAAAAAGGUUUUUUGUCGAAUAUUUUUGCUAAAAGAUAAUUUUUUAUAUUUAUUGAAAAGACAAACACGUCUUACAAGGAAUAAAAAAAAAAUUGACAAUCCAAACAUCACACCUAUUCAAUAAAUAAAGGUAUUUCACUAAUCAUCUCAUAUAAUUAAUAAAUUCAUACUACUCUUAAAUAAAUUAAAUUGUAUGAUAUACAUCUCAACUGCAAUCUAUAGAUAGUACGUAUUUCUCAAAAAGUUACGACAAUUACUUUUUAUUAGUUUUUUCAAUUUAUUUUUUCUAAAUGCCUUUGCCAUUAUUUAGGGAAAAAAAUUAUGAUAUUAAAAAUAUUAAAUUACAUACAAAAUUGUUUUUUACGUCAACCAAAAAGUGAAACUGAGUAUUUCUAGCUGUAAACAAUUUCUCUUUUCGCUUUGAAUUAAACAAAUAUGCUCCACAAGCAAACUAAGUAUCGGUGAGUGAGAUCACUGGUUCAAGCUUCGUACAUCUGGUGAAUAACUUGAUUUUGUUUCAAAUUAACUCAGUGAGACCAAAUUAUGAAACAAUCAGCGUACAAUUUCAUUGAAAAUUAUUCUUUUUUGUGUAGACGACUAUACGAAGAAGAGACGACUAAAACAGUUCCCAUCCAAAAUGCCCGCAUCCAAAAUAGCUCUGUAUUUGUUACUAUACAGUUAAAAAAUACUAUUUCUAUAAUAAAAAAAGUUUUUUAAAAAUUAAACAUAUUUUUAUUUUUUAAUAUUUUAAAAUUUUGAUUAUUACUGUCGCAAAAAAUUAUACGACUACACACUUUUUGUACCGUUUGCAAUUAAAAUUUUGUAAUAUAAAGAAUAAAAAAAUAAAAAUAUCUUUAAAAUUGUAUGCCUUCUAUUAUUAUAAAAAAUAUUUCGAUCAUAUUAUCGGGGGCCCCACUCCCACGUCACCCGCUCCAAAUAAUAUAACGCACACACACACAAAAAGAAAAAAAAAAAAAAAAAGAAUUACGUAAAUAGCGCCCCUGGUCUGAGCGAGAGGAGAGGAGUGGGCCCCACUUCCACUAUGGCCAAAGUGGAGAGGGGGAGGAGGAAGAAGAAGAAAGGGCGCCUCUCUCUCCUCGAUCUCGAGAAGCGUUCCCUCCGCUUCCACAAUCCAAACCCUAACCCUAAUUCCACCCUCAAUCCCUGCGCUCGACCCCCGCUCCACUCCCCUGCUCGCCGAUCCACCCGCCGGAACCCUAAACACGAACCCCCUAAACCCUCGCCGGACACCGAAUUCGACGACGCCGCCGAUGCAGAGGAGGAGGAGGAGGAGAAGCUCAUUGGGAAGCGUCGCGAGAAGGAGCUCAAAUUCGUUCUCCGCGCUGACUCCACCCCCUCCGCCUCCGUCUCCGGCAGCGGCGCAGCCGCAUCCCGGCGGAAGCGGAAGAUCCCCGGCUAUGGAGAUCGGGAUAAGGUUGGAGACGAUCUCCGCUAAUUACCGAGAAUUAAUGCUUUUCUAAUAAUAACCUGUCCCUUUAAUUUGCGGGGGACGCGGGGGUUUUUCCCUGUAGUUUAAUAAAUGCGGACGUUUCCCGUACGGUUUCCCCUCCCAGGGAUGCGGGAUCUCUAUGCGCCCGUGUCGUACGAUUGUCUCCUCUGCGUGAGUUGACCACGUAAACUCGAAUCAAUCAUUUCGAGAUCGGAGUUUCUCGUAUGAUCUCAUCGGUGUUCGGUUUAUUAGAAAAACUAUUUUACUACGUUCAUAAUUUCUAUUUUGUUUUAUUCAUAUAUUUUUUUUCCUUUCAAUGUUAGGCCAAAUCGCACAAUUCCUUGAAAGCGACGGAUCCUCGUCAAGGUUUGUGAUCAUGCAUUAAAUUUGAGAGAGAAAAUUCUCUGUUCGUUUAGUGGAUAUUUUUAUGUUUUUGUUUUUUUGAGAGAUAAGUAGCACGCUACCCGUUUUAUUUAUUUUAUUUAGAAAUAAAUUUUUAGCUGGAAAUGUAAAUCAAUUAGGAUUCGAACUUGGGUCUUGGGUACCAACCACCAAGUCAUUUGCCACUUGCUCUAGGAACGGUCGGUGUGGAUAUUUUCAUAUUAAUAUUAUUAUUUGUUGAUAUAUAUUUGUGUUGUGAACAGGGGAAUUAACAGUUUGCGGGCCGACGACACCUUUGCCGGAGAAAAAUUUGUUGGUGUUCAUCCUCGACAGACUCCAGAAGUGAGUGCUCUCCUGUCAUUUUUUUUUAAAAAAAAAUUGAUAUAUAAUCAUUAUUAUUAUGAUCAUGGUUCUUAAUUACUGUUUCUAUGGUGCAACUCACCAGGAAAGAUACAUUUGGUGUCUUCUCGGAGCCUGUGGAUCCCGAGGAGGUGCGGCAUUAGAUCCCACGAAUAGGCAAUUCUGUUUUGUCUUCUUUCCUCAAUAUUCAUAGGCGAAGUUCUCUUUUGCUGAUGGACUGAUGUUUGGUGCGCAAACAGCUGCCGGAUUACCAUGAAAUUAUUGGACAUGCGAUGGACUUUGGGACUAUCCGCAAGAAGCUUUCGGAUGGUGCAUAUGUAAACUUGGAGCAGUUCGAGGUUGUACGAGUUCUAUGAAUCUCUUAUCGCGUAUUCCUGCGCUUUAUUGUAUAAAAGAAAAUGAGUUUUUCCAUAGGUAUCUGGCAACAGAAUUUAGUUGUCUUGCGGAAGCAUUGAUUUUAGUGGUACUCAUACUGCUUUAAAUUGAGUAUCAAGUUUUUCGCCUCCUAUAUGUUCUUUGAUAUUUCUUUUUAAACUUUUUUGCUAGGUGCAGCUUGGCAGGCCCCUUUUUUUGACUUCAAAAUUAUUAAUACUAUGAUAGAUGCUAGGAGUUUCAGGUGUCAUACAAAUUUUGUGUCGCUUUUCAGUUAGUUGUGUGAUGUAUGGUGAACAUGCGACCGACAGUUUCCCGCGGACUUGUACCCUUGGUUAGAGGAAAUAAAGUGACGACUUCAUCGUCAUCUCAUCAUGGCAGAGCCUGCUACUUUUUCUUGUUAUGUAAUUGUAUAAUUCUUUUUGGUGAGAUUAGAAGAAGGGUCGUAUGAUGCGCAAUCUAUAAUUGCUGCCAGAGUAGUGCUUGCUUGAUUGACAUCUCGGGUAGCAUUUUGGAUAUUCACCAUCACUUUUAUGUAUGUGCAGAGGGAUGUCUUUCUGAUUAGCUCAAAUGCUAUGCACUACAAUGCACCAGACACCAUCUACUAUCAGCAGGUACUGGACUUGCUUUUUACAAUUAGUUGCAUCAUUUUAAUGAGCUUGCAUGGUAACAUCCCUCAUAUAGCAAGCUAGCUAUCAAUGUAUGGUUGAACUGUUACAGGCACGAUCUAUACGGGAUCUUGCAAAGAAGAACUUUGAGAACUUGAGGGAAAAAGGUGACAGUAAUGAACCAACGCAAAAGACACUGGCGAGGAGGGGUAGGCCACCGAAAAAGAUCAAGCAAACAGUGAGCAGACCCUCUGACUGCGCUUUUUCAGAGUUCAACAACAAUGAUGCAACACUUGCUAAUUCUGGGGACAGCAGUCGGUUAUCUAACUUUGAUAACGAUUUGUCAAGGAAAGAAUUGGCGGUAGGCAACUCUAUGAAUACAAAUAAGUCUAUGAGAACUCCCUACAGUCUGUGCAGUACAGAGACAUUUGGUUGGCUCGGCGAACAGAAACAGUCCAAAAAUAAAGAAUAUCUAGGUAUCUUUCUGUAAAAUGAUGCAUGUAUGUUUAGCCUCCAGCGCUUAAUAAUAUGGUGGAAAACAUCCCUUCCAGCUUUGGUGUCUCUAGUUCCUUGGCUUAUGCUUAGAACUUCUAUGUCUGCAGGGUCUGGAUUGAAAGGGAUUUCUAUUAAUUUUGGGAAGAAACCUACUGAUGCGGAUGAGAGUCGUCGCAACACGUGUAAGCAGUCUUAUUUGUCAACAUGUGUGAAUGAACUUUCUACGCUGACAAGCUUUGGUGGGGAGAGGAAACAACUAGUGCCGGUAAGUGUAUGUAAUCAUCUCACUCUUGGUUACUUAAAAUCAUCAUAAUUAUUCCUACAAUGGUUGCAGCUUUAGGGAGGCUUUAGGGAGGUUAUAUAUAUAGCGGUUUCUACGAAGCGGUUGAGUCCUCUUUAAGCUGCAUUCCUUUAUUCUAAUGCCCCUUGUGAUGGUUUACAUCAUGAAUGCAGGUGCGGCUUCACAUCAAAUAUUCGUACGCAAGGAGUUUGGUUCGAUUUGCUGCCAACCUUGGUCCCAUUGGCUUGGCUAUUGCUGAGAAAAGAAUCAAGCAACUAUUACCUCCCUCGAGAAUCUCCUCUAAUUAUUUUGCUUAUCACUCUUCUCAACUUAAGUUGUCACCCUGCACCACGCAGGAAGCAUCCUCACAUGAAAAUAUCAUACAAGAGCGACAUCUUUACAGAACACUAGAGGAUCCGAAGGUACCCAAAUAUGAAAAUGGAGUUACAAUUUCUAGGCUUAGUGUCGAUAGUAUCGGGACCAAGGAGCCAAUUCACCUUAAUGAUUUCAAUUCUUUAUCACUUUAAUACAGUGAGACCGAUUUGGUGACCGGCACCCUUUAUCCAGAAGAAUCAUAUGCACUGCCAAUUUAUCACGAGAGCGACUGCGACAGUAGGGUAUGUGGGCACAUCAAGUUCUGGUAACUUCUUGCCUGAUACUAGCUGCAAUUCUAAGAUGAUGCAGGAUUUUCCUGCACAAGUGAAGGCGGACUCGAUUUCUGCUGACCUGAAAGUGGGGUUCCGGUCGCCAAGCUUGUCGGGUUCAGGUAUUGUGGCUUCAACUUCCGAGACCUGAUUUAGCUUUGCAGCUUUGAAAUUAUGUGAUAUUAUUUUCCCAUUUAGAUGAGUAUGUUAGGGGUGCAGUUGUGCUAAAUUAACUAGAGGAAAUGGUUAGGGUUUGUAAUUUGCUUGACGCUAGUGUUCUGUUGUAACAGGGUAGAGGGCAGUUGUACAGAUUAUAAUCUGUAGGUGAGGUUGUAUAUAUUUUCCAAUUCUUAAUAAAGAAGCUUAAAUCUCAUUUGUAAUGUAUGAAUCUAAGCACUUUGCGGAUAUGCACGAAAUAGUCCAAAAUUUUUUCUCCGGCUUAGUAAAAUGUUGCUUACUAUGGAGAAAAGAAAGAGUUGACCAAAUCUAUGGGAUUUUUUUUUUAAAAAAAAGUAUAUCCAAGUAGAAAGGAGGCGAUAGUAUUGAACUACAAUUGUCGUUCUUCUAAAUUUAAGAUUUUUUUUUUUUUAAAAAAGCCUAUUUUUAAAAAUACCAUCAGCUAUCUAAAUGAUUAUUGUAUCCUUUCAGAACUUUUUAAUUAAAAAAAUUGAACUUGGAAUGAUACAUGUUAUUUUCGCAUAAAAAAAGAGGCCUUCUCGGGCCAUAAAUUUUUAGGCCCAAUAAGUCCAACGAAUUGGCGCGAAGAGCGUCUCGUUAGUUUAAUUUAAAACGGGAGCAUUUCCUCUCUCUCUCUCUCUCCCACUCUCUCUCUCUCGCUCUCUCUCUCUAUAUACAUCUAGAAAAGAAGAGAAAGAUCAAGAAAGCGUCUAACGGGUUUCGAUCGCACAAUGGGUUGCUUCUGUUCGAUCGAUCAAAGCAGCGAUACUCCAUCAUCAUCGUCGCCGCCGCCGCCGCCGCCACCAACACCGCCGCAGCCGCCGCAAUGGAAUUCUCCUCCUGCACUGCUGAUUCCUCCACAACCGCAUCCACCGCCAUUGCAGAGUUCUCCGGCUGAGCAAAUGCCGAGAUGCCCACAGUCAAGCCCUCUUCUCAUUCCCACGGUGCAAAGCGCGAGCCCUCGUCUUGCUCCGAUUUAUUGGGGAAGUGCGGUCUCUUGCCGUGUUCUGAUCGAGCCAAGAGGGGGGCCUCCGCCGAGCCCUCAUCGUGUUCCAAUUGAGCAAAGCACGAGCCCACCGCCGAGCUCUCGUUGUGUUCCGACCGAGUGGAGAUCGAGCCCCCUGCCGAGCGAUCGUCGUGUUCUGAUUGAGCGAAGAGGGAGGCCUCUGCCGAGCCCUCUUCGUGUUCCAAUUGAGCGAAUUGCAAGCCCACCGUCGAGUUCUCGUCAUGUUCCGACCAAGCGAAGCACAAGCCUGCUGUCGAGCCCUCGCCGCGUUCCGAUCGCGCGAAACACAAGCCCGCCACCGGGCGGUAGUUCCCUCUUUGAACCUUUCUUCAGUAGGCGCUUCUCAACAUCACCACCCAUUGCUUCAAUUCUUGAUUUUCCUUCAUUCCUGCGCCCUUUCUUUCAUCCUUUACCUAUUCUUUGCGGUGACCGACUCUGUGAUUAAUGGGGUAGAAGGUCCAAGUGUCGCCGCAUCGUCAUCAUCAGCCCCCUCUGCAGAGAUGAAGAAGCAUUCCCAGAACUUCACCUUCCACGAUCUCGCCAUCGCAACUGAGAAUUUUAGCAAUGCAAAUUUUCUCGGAGAAGGGGGAUUCGGAAAUGUCUACAAGGGAAAGCUCAAUUCGGGAGAGGUGAGCUUCUUUCUUUUUUUUUUAGUAAUCUACCGCACGGGUAUAUGUAAUUUUGUGCAUUGAUCUCUGCGGCAUUUCGUCGAACAGGUGGUCGCUGUAAAGGUGCUUAGAAAAAUGGGGGUACAGGGGAACAAGGAGUUCCUAACGGAGGUUCUCAUGCUCACAAUGUUGAAGCAUCCGAAUCUCAUUGGCUUAGUCGGAUUCUGCUCUGAGGGAGACCAAAGGCUGUUGGUUUACGAGUUCAUGCCGAACGGCACUUUACUGGAUCAUUUGUUUGGUAAGAUACCUUUCCUUUCCACCAAAAAAAAUAAAAUAAAAUUCUGUGGGGAUUCUUAAUAUUAUCUGAUGAAUUUGCAUGUGAUUUUGAUCAGAAUUGUUGUUAGCUAGAUCUUGGUUGCAUUUGACUGUGUUUUUAUAUUAUAUACUCCAUCAAUGUGAGUGGAUCUCCAUAAUUUUGAUCUUAAAAGCAUAUAACAUGUUCAAAAAGAAUUCAGUAUUAGACUAUUGGUUAAAGUUGACAAAAUAAGUUUUGAUGACUGAGGAAUUAUGGAAAUAUAUAAGAUUCUUUACAGAAUGGUGAUGAUAUCAUUUCUUUUUCAUCAAUGUGUUAUUCCAUCUUUUGAAAAAUAUUAUCAUUCUUGCAAGUAGAAUUAUCGAAUCUGUUACUUCUUAUAAUCAUCACAAAAGGAUUUUCUGCCAAAUUUAUUGACCUGUGUUUAGUUUUUGCUUAUUUUUUCUUUUUAUUGUAGUGUAUGUAAUUUAUUCAUUAGUUAUCUUCUGAAUCAUUCAAGGUAACAAAUGAUGCCAGAUGAGACAUGAUUUCUGAAAUAUAAUUUACAGCUCGGUAUAUGUGGAAACAUCAUCUUUUAUUGUGUCGAGGAUGUAAAGGCCUUCGAAUAGCUCGUAUUAUAUUUAACCUGUGAAUCUUUUCCCUUUAAAUUUGGAAAUUGUUCCUUCCUUCACUUUUAUGUCAUUCCAGGAAAAUUUGCAAAUUUUCCUUCACUUGGAAUUUGCAAAGUGCACCCUCCCUCACUUUGAUGCAAUUCAAGGAAAAUUAGGGAACGGCAAACUGAUCUUCAACAAUGGGGAGUUGAAUGCUUGAUGCUUGUUUAAUUUCUUGAAUAGUACCUGUUGUUUAGUGUGACAUCUCUUGUUUCAAGAAGCCGAAUUUCGCCCUUUAAUCAAUGGCAGCCUUUUUCUAAAAAUAGAUUUACCACCCAACCGAGAACCACUCGACUGGACCACACGGAUCAAGAUUAUUCUUGGUGUAGCGAAUGGGCUCCAUUACCUGCACGAUUUGGCGGACCCGCCCGUCAUUUACCGCGACAUGAAGGCCGAAAACAUUCUGCUAGACGACGACUUCAAUCCCAAGCUCUCUGAUUUUGGGCUCACUAAGCUCGCACCUGCUGGGGACGAAGCAUACGUAUUUACUCGGAUUUUGGAAAAUCAAGGCUACUGUGAUCCAGAGUAUGUUGCAACUGGUAAGCUCAGCAAAAAGUCUGACGUAUAUAGCUUCGGCAUUCUUAUGCUGGAGUUGAUCUCUGGGCGAAUAGUAUAUGAUGAGACGGCCCCGCGAUUGUUGGCCUGGGUAAGCAACUGCCUGUUCCUUUUUGUCAUUUCCAUUGGAGAAUAAUAUGCAUAUGCUGAUAUGCAUACAUAUAUUUGUUUACUUAAGAUGCCCAGACUCUUUUGUCACAACUGCUGGACUCUUCUAGUUUCCUGUGAAUCUAUUAGGUCUUUGUUUCUUGAACCUAAUAGAUUCACAGGAAAAUGAGUUGCAUGGGUGUAUCCUCAAUUUUUCAUUUAAACAUGUGAAUGCGUUAACCAUAAAGAGCACUAGGCUGCAAGUAUAAGACUAAGCUGAUCAAAGCCCUAGCUGCUUUGCAGUUUGAGAGAUUAAUUUAACAUUGCCAGAAUGCGAACCAAAUUGAGUUAGUACCAACUUAUUCGCUUAAUCCUCGCAUUUAUAUCCUUUUGGAUCAAUUUCUCUAUAUUGCAGGCAAGCGCGUGUCUAAGCAAUAGGAAACUGUACGUGCAACUUGUCGACCCGCUACUUCUAGGCUGCUUCCGACGCCGUUCUCUCAACAUUUUAGCACCGGUCAUUGGAUUCUGUACCAACUAUGAACCUUGUUUGCGGCCUCCCAUUAAGGACGUCGUCAAGGCCGUCGCAAACGCCGCAUCCUUCUCCUACGACUCGGAAUCUUCCACUCCCAGCACAACAAGCUCUGAGUCUUCUGCUUCACUCUAGCAGCCUGCCUCUUCUCAAUUCGCCGCUUCAUCCUCGCAGCCCUCCUCUCCUUGGUUCUGCAGUUUUCUGUUCUUCCGACGGAAUAAUGUUCGAGCUUUGGAGGCGGGAGUCUUAUUAGCCGUUAUAGAUAUCGUACGGCUUUGUAUAUACCGUUCAUACUUACAGCACAGUGCGUGAAAUUUUCUUUUACGUUCGAGACAACUGUAGAGUGUAAAGUUUCGAAGCCAUAUUUCCAUUUUUGCACACUAUGCUGUGCGGGGUAAAUGUAGAAGCCAAAAUAAAGGGAUUGGCUUUGUACAAAAACUCUCCGAUUCGUGCAUAUGUGAAGUAUAAUUUGAACCAAUUGCUUAAUGGAAGUCCUCUUUUUUUUUUUUAUACUCGAGUUUCGAUUCGUCCUGUAAUCUGUUUUCUACAUUUUAAUGAGAAAAACUAUGGCGAAAUUUAUGAUCUGCAACACACUAUACAUUGAAUACUGAGUCGUAAGCACGAUCUUUCCAGGUUCUCUCAAUCAUGUUCCUAAUUUAUUUUUAGGAUAAACUUCAAAUACCACCCCUAUAGUUUUGCACUUUUUCACUUUACUAUCCUGUGAUUUAAAGUGUAUUAAUUUAAUGUCCUUUGGUUCCAUUUUUCUUUUUUCGUUAGCUUCUCUGCUAAUAGUUCGUUAAAUUAAAUACAAAAACUUCAAGUUUAUCGAAUAUUCACUUUAGUACCUUUUAGUUUUAACUUUGUGUCACGCCCCGUGGCCGAUUUGAAAAGCCUUAGUAUCAGAGCCGGUUCACCAGCUAUGUGUGGCGAGUCUCGGCUGAGCCAGGGUCUGGAUGACGGGCUAGUAAGACGAGUCUCACAUCGCCUGGUGAUCUUAGGCUGUGUGUAUGAUUGGACUGACGAGGACGUCAGGACCUUAACGGGGGAGUCUGUGACACCCCAAUAAUCCCACAUCGAAUGAGAAUGGGAUUGUCAUUGAGUUUAUAAAAGACUUAGACACUAGUAAUAAUAACUGGGCUUAAGCAUUUUUGGCUGAUAGCUUGGGCCCAACGAGUUAUUAUUGCUAGUGGGCUGGGUCGUUACAUUUUGUCACUGAUGAGAAAAAUAAAACCACAUAGCACUAAAUUAAUACAUUUUAAACCGCAAGAUACUAAAGUGAGAAAGUACAAAACCAAAAAGGUGGUAUUUGAAAUUUUUCCUUAUUUAUAGAUACUUUUAUUUCACCAUGUGUAUCACUGCAGAGGAGAAAAUACACUAAACGCACGUUUUAAGAGCCACAAAUUUCAAGGGUCUGACGCGCAAAUGCUGUACAACUUCUCGCUCACAAGAAUUCCAACAACGAUCUGUUACAUGUGGAUGCGCAUUGCUUCUUUCUAUUAAUAUUAUUUUUUCCCCAUAAAUUUUAUAAGAUUAAAUGAGAUAAUAGAAAUUUUCUAUGUUCUUGUCACAAAGAAACAAAAACAUUAAUGAUGGACCUUCGAAGAAAUUGGAUGCACAUGCAAAUAGACUUUUCUAUUUUUGUUUGUUUGUUUCUGUAAAUUGCUUCGUGUUUAAGCUUUAUGUAUAACAUUAAUGAACUCCUAGAAAGAAAAAAAAUAAAAAAAUAAAAAACAUAUGAAGCGUAAAGUACCACCAAUUUUGUCUUUACCGUACUUUUGCUGCAUCCUUCUUUCUGACUAUUGAUUUUGUCUUUACCGUAAUUUUCUUUUUUUCUUCUUCUGUUUUUUUUGUUGAUUUUUUGUCGCUUGGAGGCUUUCGCUGUCUUACUAUUUAUAGCUAAAAUUAAAUACUUAAUUAAUGAAGCAGAUAGCGUGCUAUUAUUUUCUCAAAAAAAAAAUCACCAAUUUGAAUGGCUAGCCAACUUUUAAAUAAUUUAAUUUUACUACCUGAUUUUUUUUUUAAUUUAUAUGAUUUGAGUUCAUUAAUGACUUUUUUAACUUCAAAAGUUGAAUGCGUUGUUUAUUUUUACUGACUAUGCAAUUUGUAUAACUAUAAAUUUAUUAACGUAAAAUAAAUUAGCUUGAAUUUUAUAUUCGAAGAGCCAUCAAAUCACUUAAGAACAAAUUAAAAGAUCGAGUACUGAAAAUUAAAAUUUUGAAAUAUUGGAUAGUUGAAUCAAAAUGGUCUAUAAAUUAAAAAAAAAAUUUAUACACUUUUUACUGAAAUAAAUAAUAAAAAAGCUAUAAGAAAAUUGUUAUUAAAUUUUUCUUUGGUUUGGUAAAAAUAUAUGGAGACCCUCCCCUCUGUUGUAUUUUUUUUUUUUUUUUUUUUUUAGAGAAAUGCUAUAUAGUACGGUGUAAACUUUAUGGUACCAUUUGGUUUGGGUAUAAGCAAGAAUUAGCUAUUACAGGUAUAGGUACAAGUAUGGGAUAAGAAAAAUAGUGUUUGGAUGAAAAUUGGGUUAUUCCUGAGGAUAAAAAAAAAUAGCGUUUGAAUAGAUAAUAUGGAAAGGUGUUGGUGGGAAUAGUUAUAACCGGUUAUUAUAGGUAACCAAAAAUUACUGUUCUCAGAUAAAAAAUUAGCGUUUGGGUAUAAAGGGGAUAAGAGCCUAUUCCUAUCCCUAUACCUUUUUUAGUUUUCUAAUAUUAAA